UCGGUGUUCUAUUAUGAGAUCCUCAACUCGCCUGAUCGUGCUUGCAAUCUCGCAAAGCAGGUUAGUUUUUCUGAGUCAGUUGUUUUUGCCUGUGCAUGUUAGUUUUUCCGAGUCAGUUAGAUGUUCUGGAUUUGCUUGUGACGUGCUAGAUACACUAUACAUGUAAUUAAAUUAUUUUUCUCUGAAUGAUGCUUUCAUGUUUGAUAAGGUGAACUGGUAAAAUUAAUUACAAAUAAUGUGGCUCGUAAUACAUGCAGAUUUAUGAAAAAUAGACCAGCAGCAAUUUGGCGAAUAUUUGAUCCAAAUCACAUUGUUUUUGUUUCGUUAUAUAUUUUAGCAGCCAGUUUUUGCUUGUGAUCAUGGACAGAGCACACAGCAAUUCAUAUUAGUUUGUUUGUGGUCAUUUGACUUUAGAACCAAUGGAACUUCCAUAAUCUUUAGCUGUGGUCUGGGAGACAACAAAAUCCUUGCAUUGCUUGUCAACUGUGGUUGUUGAGUGUGACCACUGCCCACAAAAAGAAACAUGUGGUCACUGGUGUACCUAAUCUUGUAUGAUUAUAUUAUCAUUAAGUAUCUCUCCCUCGUAUUAUUGAUUGAACGCGGGUGUUUGUUGUACUAGCUGUUGUGACUCAUGAAUGCGAGCUUGUACUUGACCUGUUCUCAGUGCCUUUAUAUUUGGUGUAGAAGCGCCUUCCAGAGAAUAAUGGAUAAAAAUAAUCUUCCAUAGUUGUGGCAGAACUUGGCCAACAGUUCGGCAUGAAGUGCCAAUUUUUUUAAUAAUUAGAUUUUUUUAUGCAAAAUGGAGUAUUUUUUAUUAUAUUUUAUAUGUAACUUUUCAUCGUUAAUUUCAUUUUGGUUAUUUAUUUUUAUGGCCCAUUUUGGACUUUCAUCUCCAAUUGUAUUUUAAUUAUUUACUUAUAAGAUUUGGAUCUUCCUUUAGACAUUCUUUGCAACUUGGCAUCAUGAUGACGUUUUUGAUUCUACAGGCAUUCGAUGAGGCCAUUUCGGAGCUGGACACCCUGAGCGAAGAAUCUUACAAGGACAGCACCUUGAUCAUGCAACUCCUUCGUGAUAACUUGACCCUCUGGACUUCUGACAUCACGGUAUCAUUGAUUCCGAAAGCGCAUCUUUUAAUCUUGUCGUGUUCUUGAAACCACCCCCCUCCUUGAACACCCGUAACCGACUUCCUUGGCUUUUUAUCAGGAGGACACCGCUGAGGAGGAGAUCAGGGAGGCUCCAAAGAACGACUCAAGCGAGGGGCAGUAAAGCCGGCUUUGCGACGCCCCGCAAGCUACUAGCUAGUGUUUGCUACUGUCAAUGACGUUGCAAUGUGCUCUGGAUCGUGUCAUAGUUGUGUUAUGGUUGUUGUUGCAAGAUUUGGGGCUCCCCAUAUGUGAUGUUGCCAGGGAAGGUUGUGGUCGGUGCUUGUAGCGUAGCAGGCGGUGGCUGCCUCCUGGUCUGGCUUGGGAGGGAGCCCCAUAGACUGGUGGUGGCCGUUCGUAUUUUCGUUCUGCCUUAAUAUUGCUUCUUAAACGUGAGUGGUUCUGCAUCUGUGUCUGGCCUGUUCUGUUUCAGUUCUUUUGGUGGUUUUUCGUGGGGGUUACUCGCACUGAAUCUGGCUUUGUGGCUGGCUCAUAUGGGAAUUGGGAUUGCCCGGGUUGUUUGCUCCGGACAAGAUUGAAGCGCUGACAAAAUGGGUUAAUUAUUCGAUGGACGCAGCCCUUCCUGAACCUGAAAUUCUGAAACAGACGUCCUAGCACAACUCCUUCCUCUCCCUAAUUCCUGACUCCUAUCCUAGCUGCUCUAGCGGUUCCUCUGGCCAUUUACUUGUAUGUUUACUUCAUAUGUUCACUUCAUAUGUUUACUCAUAUGGCCAUUUAUAUAAGAUCACUUCAUAUGUUUUUAUAUAAGAUCACUUCAAAUCCAAGUUAGUUGAACCGAAUAAACUGAAGUAAAAAAUGAAUUUAUAUUUCUUGUGAUGAACAACCAAACAAGUUGUCAUUUUUCUUGUACAUGAGUCAAAUUCACUACUAAGCACAUAAAUUUUUCUUGUAACAUAGUUAUUUUUCUCUUUUUAAAAUGGUAAACACAUCCAAAACCAUCAAUAGAUGAAUCAAUGCAUGCAUAUACACUUGUAUAUAUUGUGUAAAAUUGUAUGUGUUUUGAGUCAUAAAUUUGUAAAUUCAAAUUCGCGUCAACUUUGGUUUUUAUGGUAUACACCGAAACCGUAUCGAAAUAAUUUGGUAUAUACCGAAACCGAACUGUAUUUUAAGUUCAUACCGUAUUUACCGAAGUAUUAAUACUUUAGAAACCAAAAAAACGGUAUAAACCGAACGCACAGAGUGAGUGGCCACCCAUAAGCAAGCUAACUCCAUCUUGGUGACGGUGAUCAUAGUAGUGGCGGCGAUAUUGUGACGAACCCUCAAAGUCGAUCCACCAUUUACUCACAGUGGUCAUAGUCGCCCAAAUGCUAGCGAUACUAUCGCUUAAUCUGAGCCAAGCAUUGACCUCUUUCCACACCCUAAUCUACCGGCAACUCUUGGACUUGGUUGCAAAGAGGGUAUAUGGGCCAAAUUUUACGAUGGGCCUAUAGACCAUGCAAACUCUAUUUGUGGAUGAUCAACCAAGCACAGAACUUGCACUUAGGGGUGCCCACACCUUCCAAAUGGUCUUAAGUGAGGGUGUGGUAGUGAGCCCCUCAAACUGCACCUUGUAGGUCAAGGACAUCGAGUGCAUCCCAUUUUUCACGAACUUCAAAAUAAUCGCAUCCUUAGUAUCAUGCUCGAGGUUUAUGCCGACCAUCGUCAUCUCCCACAGGGUGGCGAAUUCACAAAUUGUGCUCCAAGGGAGUUCUGCACUGUGCUCGCCUUCUAUCGUGAGAGAGGGAAAAUCUUCGGGGCAAUGUCCUUCAGCCUCAUUCCCUCAAGCCAUGGUGAAUCCCAAAAUUUUGCCUUAUUGCCAUCAUCAAUAGUAACUUUAGUCUGCCUACCCCAGUCGAAGGCUUGGAGGGACCCACCCAUUCAAACCAUAGCCAACGAAGUUUGUACUACCUCCGUCCCAAAUUAAAAGACGUUUGGGUAGGCUGGUGACAAGUUUGUAUGACCUCCAUCCCAAAUUAUAAUACCUUUUUUAGGAGUAGGGCAUUUUGAAGACCGAGCUCCAUGGAGACCUUUAUUUUAAAAAAUUCAAAAUUCAACAAAGUCUUAUUGCCAUCACCAAUAGUAACUUUAGUCUGCCUACCCCAGUCGAAGGCUUGGAGGGACCCACCCAUUCAAACCAUAGCCAACGAAGUUUGUACUACCUCCGUCCCAAAUUAAAAGACGUUUGGGUAGGCUGGUGGCAAGUUUGUAUGACCUCCAUCCCAAAUUAUAAGACCUUUUUUAGGAGUAGGGCAUUUUGAAGACCGAGCUCCAUGGAGACCUUUAUUUUAAAAAAUUCAAAAUUCAUCAAUUUCAAUUCCAAAAAAUUCAGAAAAAAAUUACACAUGCAUGCAAGGAUGUAAAGUGUAUGUGUGAAAAAUUUCAAGAUGAACAGUAGUAUGCUAAAAAGCCAUAGAUUUGUCUUUUUCGUGUAGCUCACAUUUUAAUGUAUUUCGACUUGAAAAUGUGCAUACAUGUAUAUUAUGUAUCUAGGUAUAUAUGUAUUUAUUUUCAGAUUUUUUUAAAACUGAAAAGUUUGAAUUUUGAAGUUUUCAAAUAAAGGCCUCCAUGGAGCUCGGUCUCCAUUUGGCAUUUCCGCUUUUUUAGGCUACUUUAGCCUACCAAAACAUCUUAUAAUUUAGAACAGAGGAAGUACAUAUUUAGCAACCUUGCCGUGGCAUGAUUUUAACCGGCUCGAAGGAUGUAAAUUGACAUCUGAGAGCUUCGCAGGUCAGCAGUACUCAGCAGCAGCAUACGUAGAUACUUAAAGGUCAUAGAGGGAUGUUUGUUACUCCUUCUCGGCUGCUUACACUUGCUGCCGUCGAGCACCUAAAACAGCAGUUUAAAUUACACAUUUGCGCUAAAUCUACACUUGUGUGUGAGAAGAUAGGUUCCAGGCCUCAUCACGGUUUACUCAGUGGCUCGACAGCGGUUCUGAAGAGAAGAAUGUACGCCUUGUCGACGGAGAAGUACAGGAAGCCUCCUAGGGAGUGAGUGACGUAGGAGCCAAAGCUUGUGCCGACGAUGCAGUGCCAAGCAGGCCCGUAUGUCGUGUCGAAUUCCUGUAAGCAAACCAAAGCAAUGUCCAGCUAUUAUUAAAUGCCAAUACAAGCCCCAGAAUGUGAGAUUGAAACACUACCAAGGAUAUUUUAAUGCUUAAUCUUUGAAGAGGAAAAAAAGAAAGCAAACAGCUCACAAGUAAGCAGGUACUAAUACCUUAGAGGGAAGAAAGAAACUGCACAUAGCCACUUGUCAACUUGACAAGUACAAAUAAGAGGAAACUCAAGGCAACAGCGCAUGUCAACGAAGUAAAAGAAUUAUGAUGUCCGAUAAUAUAAGAUGUUACUACAACCAAUAUGUGAGUAUAUCAACUGUAAUAACAUCUUACAUUAUGGGACGGAGGGAGUACAAUAUUACAAACACCCUGGAUUAUGUACAGAACCAACAUGAAAGUUUCUCUGCCAUACUGAAAGCACACAAUUUUUUAGGUGGGUACUGAAAAUACUUGGCGAUCAUUUAUUGCAGUCUGUAAGUAGCAUGUUAUAUGAGUAUUCCCAUUUUCAUCAUGCAUACAGAAAAGGGGAAUAAAACAAUGGCUCAAAAGCUGUAAUACAACACUGGUGUGUUCAAAGUGGGGGAGAUAAUGCAUGAAGCUUGUUUGUGCUUGCACUGACAUCUACUCACACAAAGUUUUAAAUCGGACGGUCAAAGGCAAGACAGAGUGAAUGCCCUCGCUUGCCAAGUUAUUGUUCAUAAGCAAGCAAUUACUAAUUUACAUACCAGGAUAUUGCAGAUAAGGACAUCAACAAAUGACAAUUAGGAAUAGUAACUAACCGAAAUGAACACAAAAUCAGUAGUGCCCAACUCAUAAGCUCAUAUCAAGGUUUCCAAUUUCAGGAUCAAUGCUCCAACUUAAAGAGUAGUGCCCAACUCAUAAGCUCAUAUCAAGGUUUCCAAUUUCAGGAUCCAUGCUCCAACUUAAAGAAAUAUGUUAGUUCUCAGUUGAACUUACAGGAGCCAUCAGAUGAUGGAGUUAACAGCUGAGAUCAAGCAUCGCUCGACCAUGAGAAACUGCUCACUCACACUCAGGUGAUCUCAGCUGUUUGAUUACUUAAUGAGAUGACCCUAGAACUACAUAAUGAUUGAAGUAAUAAAGGCUCCAGUGGAGCCAUGUCAGCAAGCCACUUGCCACCAAUAGCAUACCUUAUUCUACCUACAAUCCUCAUCCUGCUAUUGACCAUGUCACUUGUAGUUCUCGACAGCUAUAAUUGACAAUUCUGUCAACAUACAUCACAGAGCACACACAGAGAGCAGAUUUACAAAACCAACUUGUCAAGUUAGCUCCACAAGAUUGCAACCCCCAUGUUGCGCAAAGUCAAGAGCUCUGCAUCGGCAUCCCAUUCGGUUCCUACAGCAUGCUUAGAGAUAGCAUACACGUUCUACUCAUAACAUGGUUCCAACUUGCAACUACUAGUAGUAAACUACAUGUGGCAGCAGAGCAGAGUAUAACUAUCCUCCUCGGAUGCCCUCUGAGCUUUCAGUAUCUCACAAAUCAGUAUUGUUUUCAGCAAUAUGGUGGACCACAUCCCAUAAAUGAACACAUCGAACAAUCUGAUCUGGCAACAACAGCGCUCUGCCUCCCAUUUCAUCUUCUCCGUCAAACUACGUUCAGCAUGACAGCUCACUCGCUCUCAAACGCACAACUAUCCAAAGCGCACAGCCAUUUUAGCUAGUAAGAACAUAAUGCUAGGAUCAAGCUCUGGCUAGAUCUUGCUCCCCGGCCCUUUAAAUGCGAUUGUUCGUUUUACACAUCAAUCCUGCUCCAUUAUGUGGUCGUUUGCAGCAAUUAAUGCUCUAUAAACAAGCUUGGACUCCACGAAAACUGCUGAUCUAGUAUCUGAUUGAAGGACCAGCACGGCUAGAAAGACAAAUUCGAAAGGGAAGAAGGAAGCAGGGGGUGGUGGUACUAGUGUACCUUCUUGAGCGCGAGCGCGAGGCGCUUGCUCUCGAGGCGCGGCGUGGAGAGGACGACCUCGCGGGCGAUCCAGAUCGCGCGCCGCUGCAGCGCCAGCGGCAUGUCCGCCGCGCGCACCCGCACCGCCACCUUCCUCCCCUCCCCGCUCGCGGCGUCCCCUUUGACCUUCGCCGCCUCCCUUUCCUUGGUCUCCGGCUUAGCGGCCUUGCCCUCCCCGCCGCUGGGCUCCGCCGCCGGUUUGCGCUCCACCUUGGGCUCCGGCUCCGGCUCCGGUUGGGGCGGGUCGUCGAGCCUGGUGCGGCGGACGAGCGAGCUGAGGUAGCGGCUGCGGCGCUCGAGCUCCUCCUGGGCCGGGUCCAUGUUGCUUGAGAUGGAUGUUCCGGCUAGAUAGAUGUUGACCGGUCGCGGCGCGGACGGCUGGGUGGUCAGGUCAGCAGCGGCGGUGGCAGGGGGGCAUGGCCGCGAGUGGGAGGUGUCUGUCUCGGGGUCGGGACGGGAGGUGGUGGUGGCCGGUUGGGUUGGGGUUUCUUGGGGUUUGCCUUGCCCGGAAGAGAAGGGGUGGUGAGUGAGUGCGAUUGUUGCCGCUCCUGGAAUUCGUGGGAGCAACUUUUGAGACAAAACCUUUUGUUUUGCUUUGGUUUCCAGGUAUAAUACUCGGCCUACACUUUGUUCGGUUGUUUGUGUGAAUUCAUGCUGACUAGGGUUGCGAUCUGAUCCAGGGUGAGAUUAGCCAGUAGCUUAUCUAGUCCAGAUUUCAGUGAAGAGCAAGAUGGAACUAGACUUCCAUUGUGUGUGUUUGUGCACGUGGUCCCGAUUGUCCGUCGAUUUGUGCCCAGGGCGGGCGUUUGACCAACUGUCGGGGUCGGCAACCCCACACUCGCUGGCUGAGCCUGAGCGUUCUCCCAGUCCCACCGGCCACGCAGCGAAGACACCUCUACCAACUCGGAGGUCGAGGGAUGGCACGAUGGCCGCACUCCCCAGAUUCCCUAGCCUGGCCGGCACUACCAAGCUUUGCUCGGAUGCAGAGUAGCCAAGCUCAGGAGGUUCUAGCCGCUGAAAUUCCGCUUAAUCGCAUCGAAUCAGAUUAACCAAAUACGAGCUAGACGAAUCGUGGCAGGAUGAGAAUGCAACAGAACUGCAACCCAGCGAUAUCGAAUAGCGCAGAGCAAAUGUACAACAACGGCACAACUGCACAUACAUUAGCGCUCGAAUUUAAACCACCAAAGAGGCAGACAACACUACUACACUAGCGCAUCAAUCACUACCAACCAGAGUAUAGUCAUGGAGCAAAACAUAUCCAGAAUAUCCAUAGUAAACUUGAAUUCCAAUAUCAAGUCAAGUUAAACAAACCGACUUCCCAAGGAUUUCACAAAUCAAAGAUGAAGGAUUCAAGCUUAUACGCAACAGAGGAUUAACAAAUCAACCUAGGGAUAACAAGCUACGCGUCAGCCUAUGACAGUAUCUAUCAAGAACUCCAACAAGAAUAAGAAAUGGUUUUGUUUUUCUUCCCUAGAAUUCUACCUACAAUAUCAACCAAUGUCCACAAACCACCAAAACAUGAAAGCAGAAUUUACAAUACCAACCAAGGUCGACAAACCAACAUGAAAGCAAACAUGAAGGCAGUUCAAUUUCAAAAUGUGGAAACCUGUCUAUUCAUUUUUAUUUAUUUAUACUAGUUUUGUUGCUCGGUCAGUGAUCAACAAAAGAAAAGAAAAUGAACUAAGAACACUGGCUGCCUUGAAGCAUAUACACACAGGAUUAACAGUCGUGAAUACUCAUCAUUAGCCUAGGGAUGAUGAGCUCGGCAUCAGCCUACAACCGUAGUACCAUCACAGUAUCAGUGUAAUGAAGAACUCCAACAAGAAUUAACAGUCAUGAAGCAAGCAUAGACACUUCACGAAACACUUCCAAGUUUUUUUAGAACAAGCUUCAACAUGCAUAUAAGAGGGGGGCAGAUGGCCUACAACAUCAAUUUAAGUCCAGGCCAAAUAAAAAACAACCAAAACACUUUGAAAUGAUUCAAGUUCAAAAUUUGGAAACACCUUCAUUUUUUAUUUGUACUUGCUUGGUUGCUCAGUUUGCAAUCAACAAGAAGACGAACUAGGUCACUGGCUGCCAGUUUCCAUGGUCCAGAAUACUCUUGUAAUAAUAGUUGAACCAAAUAGCAAUUAUGCAGAAUUAAACAGGAAGCAACAUCCCGAGUCUUGAACAAGCAUGGGAUAAAGAAUUCCUGUAAAUCAAGAAAUGCACUAGAUGGGACACAAACAUGCAUUACAGGACUAUUGUUGAGAUAUUUUAGAGCUAAACUCCAUCAAUGCACUAGAAUUUAUUAGGCAAGGCAUAAUCCACACUAUUCAGCUAAACUGAAACAUCACAGCAAAAACCUAUCGUCCACUGGCAUACCAAAUCCAUAAUUGCCUCUUGUAACACUAGUGAAGAAAAUACCAAGUUAAAUGGAGCGUUACUUCGCAUGAGCCCAAUAGUAUGAGCACCCAAACAAGGAAAUUAUCACCAAAAGGUAACCACACUGCUGAGCUAAAUCAAACAUCAAAGCAUCAACCUAUCAUUCACUAGGACAUUAUAUCCAGAAAUAAUUCUUGUCACCAUAGAAGCAAACCCCAAGUUAAAGGACAAGACCUAAACAAUACUAUCCAGCGAAAUCUAAACAUCACAGUACAGCACAUAUCAAAUCACUAAUUUGCUCUACCAACACUAGAGAAGCAAAUACAAAGUUAAAUGGAACAUUACUUUGCACGAGAUCAAUAGCUUCUAAACAGUUCAUGAGCUUGCAAAGAAGAAAAUUAUCACAAAUAGGGCUAAUAUUCAAUCAUGUGUUAACCAUACUGUUGAGCUAAAAACAUCACAGCAACAACCUAUCAUUCACUGGCAUAUCACACUAUAGAAGAAAAGGCAAGUUAAAAGGAUGCAUUACUUCCAAGAAGCUAAAGCUAGUAAACAACCUGUCAUCCACUGGCAUCUCAUUAUCUAGAAUUGACCCUUACAACAGUAUAGAAGCAAAGGCAAGUUAAAAGGAUGCAUUACUCCCAAGAAGCUAAAGCUAGUAAGCAACCUAUCAUUCACUGGCAUAUCAUAUCUAGAAUUGACCCUUGUAACACUAUAGAAGCAAAGGCAAGUUAAGAACCUCCCAAGAAGCUAAAGCUAGUAAACAACCAGUAGAUGAGCACCAUUGAUCUGAAUCAAACAUCACAGCAUCAACCUAUAGUUCACUGGCAUAUCAUACCCAGAAUUGACUCUUGUAACAGUAUAGAAGCCAACCCCAUGUUUUACUUCCAAUGAGCUAAAGCUACUAAACGGCAGUACAUCAGUUGCAGAACAAGCAAGCCUAAUAUGCAACCAGACAUAGCACUGCCAAUUUUAAAGCCUCCUAAGAAUUAUAUUUUUGAAGCAGCGCCUCUAAAACAAAGAUGGCAUCCAUGAAAGGCAAGAAAUGUGCAAGCAGGCAACAUCAAUAAGUAGUCACGACUGAUGCAAGCAACACCCGCAGCGUUCGAAACAAUAAAAUCAAACAAGCAAACAACAUAAGCAUAAGUACGUAACUAGCAUGCAAAUUCAACACCACCAGAAAGCUUAAUCUGACAAAUCAUAAGCAAGAUAUCCAGAUCCAGACCUUAUUUGGAUCAAAAGACUACCAGAUUUUGUCCCAAGACAUUCAAACUUAAUAAGAUCCUACAGCAACAGAUAUCAUUGUCUCUCCAAACCAUAUUUUAGUCCGUCAUGACGCAAGAUGAUGUUUGGGCAAGUAAAACAGGAGUGGUAAAUCACCGGCCGCCGAAUCCAGCAGCGUUGAGGCCGAGCAGCAUCUUGCCGUUGUCACCAGAGGGGAUGUAGGCAACGUUGGGUGAGCGGGCCAGCUCCGCGGCUAUCUCCUUGGCAGCCUCGAUCCUCCUGAGCUCGAUCAGCCCUGUCCCAGCGAUGGCGGUGGCCUCAGAAAUGAGCCGUGCAGACUCACUUUCUCCCUCAGCACGCACGAUGGCAGCGCGCCUCUCCUGCUCGGCCUUGGCGACCAGGAACUUGGAGCGCUCAGCCUCCUGCUGCGCGACCUGCUUCUUCUCGACGGCCUGGGAGAAGUCGGCGCCGUAGGAGAGGUGGGUGAUGGCGACGUCGUCGAGUAUGAUGUUGAACUCGCGGGCCCUUUUGAUGAGGGAGUCGCGGACGAGCGCCGACACAUGGGGGCGGUCGGUGAGGAGCUGGUCGGCGUUGAACUGGGCGACGACGGCCUUGAGCACCUCGUUCCCGAUGGAGGGGAGCACCUUGUCGUCGUACUCGAGGCCGAGGGAGGUGAAGAUGGUCGGCAGGUUGACGACGUCGGGGCGGGAGAGGAGGCGGAGGGUGAGGUUUACCAUCUGCAGGUCCUUGGUGCCGGAGUUGGAGGAGAAGUUGUGCGGGCGCGUGCGGAUGUCGAAGAUGUAGGGCUUCUGGAGCCACGGCACGAUGAAGUGGGUGCCCUCGCCGACGGUAUCCGGCAGCACUCCGCGGAACCGGUCGAAGACGACGGCGCGCUCGCCGCCGUCCACGGUGUAGAGCGACGCCGAGAGGAGGGAGGCCGCGGCGCCGAGGCCAGCCGCCGCCUUGGCGAUGUUGGUGAGGAACGAGACCGCCGCGGGACCGCCGGACAUGGUCGCCUUCCGGGGGGGAUUUCGGGACGGCGGCGCGGGAGUAAAACCCUAGCGAGGGAUUUCGUCUGGGUGCGGGCUUGGGGAGGGGAAUGGGGGGUGUGGGGCGGCUGGAUCUGGCUGCCUGUGGGUUUUGUUUGGGUUUAUUUCUUGGGAGAGAAGAAGCUAGACGGUGGGGUCUGGCUGAAUGACAGGUGGUGGCCCGGUGUCAGUCUUCGGAUUGGGCGAGAAGAAAGAAACCUUUUUCGAGAAAUUGAGAAGAAGAAAGAAACUCGUGCUUGUACCGGAGAAUGGGCCAUUUGGGCCACUAGCCGGUGCGGCAAGAAACUUUACUUGGAAAAGAAGAAGGGCGCAGCAGACGAGGCCGGCUUAGCGCGGAUACAGGCCUGCAGCGUUUUUUUCUUUCUUUUUUUACACUUUUUGCGUUCGUUUUUCUGCUCAUAUAUCUAAAUAUUCUGAGUAUGUCUAUUAUAGAAUUACUUUAUACUAUAAUUUUUUUGAAAAACUAGGUGAAUGCCCGUGCGUUGCUACGGGACAACAAAGAUAUAUACAUUGAUCAAUAAUCAAAUGGUCAUUAAUCUACUUCGCUGACUUCGAGCACCAUCUUAUUGACAUUAUAUUGUCAGUUCCUCUCUAAUUUAUUUCAACCCUUUUGUUUGCUCACAUAUAUUAUAGUUGACCAGUACAAUAUGUAUUCUCUCCACCACCACCACCAAGUUGGGAGUCAAAUAUGUUACAUACACAUGUAUAUGUUGAAAACAAUGACACGUGGCAGAAGAUGCCCGUAUUCUAUGGCAUCGAUGAAUAUAAGGCAACAUUGCAUGGCCUCACCUUCAACUCUGCAUUGUUGUAAAAAGAGGUUCAUCACGGUUAUGUUAUUCUUCGGUUCAACCUCCAGCUCCAUAUCCAUUGCACCGACAUUCCGUUGUGAAGAUCUGAAAGAAUAAGCAACUCGUUUGAGGCCGUUAUAACCUACUUUUGUGGUUGUUUGCACAUGAAAAUAACCUGACCGGUGCAACUACAACUAUUGCAUGGAGAAUACAGGAAAAAAUAAUCAAACAUGUCCAUAUAUAUUAUAUUAGUGAGAAAUUUGAUAAUAUCAAGUUUACAACAGUAUGUAAAUUAGCUCGCUUGCAAUUUAUAUCAGACACUAAAUUAAUAUGAAAAGUCACACAGACCUUGCUUAUCUCUCUCCUGGGGCUUCAUUCAGUUUGGGAGGAGCGGAUAAGGGGCUAGAAGCAGAAGUAGCACAUCUGCGCAAAUCGUGCACAGUACUCAAUUGCUGCUCCUCGUCGGCAUCACGAUUUAGCCCCUAGGUAAAACUGCUCUGGCCCUGCACCUUUUACUCUCCCCCCAUACGUGAGUAGCAGCGGCUAGCAAGCCCACGCCGGCGUCCACCCCCGCCCGUCCCUCUCUACUCUCUCCCUACACCUCCAAACGACACUCACCAUGAUCACCCCCAGCCAUGGCAGAUAGCACCUUCCUUUGAGCUCCUCCCCGUGUACAGCCCCUCACAAUGAUCCACCAUCCCGCCUGUCCAUUGUUCUCCUCCGGACAAGGCCCUCUAUUCUGCACUUCUGCUUGAUUUGAGAAAAAAUCAGGGGAAGGGAACGAACUUGUGACGCGGAUGAGAAGAAAUGAAGAAUAGUGGCGGAUCGACGGAGGAGGCGAGAGGUGUCGAGGUCAGCCGAGGUUCGUCUCCUUGCCGCCAGGUCAUGAUGGAGCACGGGAGUGAUCUGCAUCUAAAUUUUAUUUUUGUUUUUAUAAGGCAAGUACCUAUCGGUGGGCUGGUUUUCAGGCAGAAAAUCGGAUGCGAUAUGAUAACGUGCAAAGAAUUGAUUGCCAUGCAUGAAUGAAUUGAUAACGCGCGUCUAGCCGUGGAGGGGGUGGAUGAAGGAAGGAGUUUGAUGACCGUCAUGAAUGAAUUGAUUGCCAUGCAUGAAUUGAUUCCGUUUGGAUUGAUUGCGUCUCGUUACAUUAUGUGAAAAACAGAGGGACAAAACCGGUGGAGGGGGAAAGAAAAUCGCUACAGGGGAGAAAACCUGUAAGGAGAAAACCGGUGGAGGGGGAAAGAAAAUCGCUACAGGGAGAGGGGUUCGUAGUACGAGAGGUUGGACGAAAGGGGAAAGGUAAGAGGGGAAACGGAACACUACGUUUCUUUUAGGUAGUAGAGAUGUUAAUCAGCAUUAAAAAUGUUAAUAUAAAAAAUAUAUCUGACAUGUAAAAAAGUAUAUCAAAAUGUACAAUGCAUAUGGAAAAAGGUAGAAAUAAAAAAUUAUAAUUUUCAAUAUUUGUUGAAAACUGUUAAUCAUGCAUUUGAAAAUUAAAUUUGUACAGAAAAAAAUGUUUCCGAUGUAUACAUAAAUGUAAAAUGUGUACGGAAACAUGUAGACAUAAAAAUUAUAAGUUUCAAAAAAAACUUAAUCAUGUAUUUGAACAAUGUUAGGCAUGCAUAUAAUUUUUUUCCUAUUGUAUACAAAAAAUAUAGAAUGUGUAUGGAAAAGUAGACAUAAAAAUAUAUGUUUGAAAAAAAUGUUCAUCAUGAAUUUGAAAAAUGUUAAACGUGAAAAUAUAAAAUGUUCCUGAUGUAUACAAAAAAUGUACAAUGUUUAUAUGGAAAAAAUUAGAAAUCAAAAUAUAUAUGUUUAAAAAAAUGUUAAUCAUGUAUAUUAAAAAUGUUAAACGUAUAUAUAAGAAAUGUUCCCGAUGUAUACAAAAAAAUGUACAAUGUGUAUGAAAAAAGUAGACACCCACAAAUAUUAGUUGUAAAAAAGCGAGAUAUAGCAUUCGUUGCUACAGAUUGAUAUCCAUGUGCGCCCAAAAUAAGAAGAAAAUCAGAUUCAUACCACUCACACUCUCUAAUGGCUAAAAUGGGCUAAAGAGAUUCAGAGUGGGCUCAUACAUGGGCAGUGGCAGUACACACCAUCCUUCGUUUCACUUUAUGAAGGCUUGCAUUUUAAGAAGAGGAAUAAAGCAACGAAAAAUAGAUAAUGUGCACUCAAGCUGGAUAUGAUGGAGGUGCGUGACAUGAUUGAAUGGAGUUAUUUGCGAGCCAUCAUGCUAAAGCUUAACUUUGGUGUCCAAUGGGUGGACAUCAUCACAUCUUUGAUCAGCUCAGUAACUUUUUCGAUGAAAUUUAAUGAGAGGAAUUUGAAUGAAUUCAAACCAUCUCAUGGUAUUCAUCAAGGGGACCCGAUCUCCCGUGCCUAGCAACACAGGGUCUCACUAGUGCAGGAACCCCGUACUAACCGCGUGCGCAAGUGCACACUACCUGUGUGUUGGUCACACAUCGUCGGUACGACGCUUCUGGUAAUUCACUACUAGCAUGGUGCAUGACACACGCCGCUAGUGGCUAAACUAUCAGCAGCAUGUGUAGUGCACGUCUUUUAUAAGAGGAAAAACAGUAGCGUGCACUCCAGUCUAAACACUUUUAAUUACGAAUCAAACUAGUGACGUUUAUUUCUCCCCACUAGUGGAAAAACGGCUAGCCACAACGAUCAUUUGUGGCGUGCCAUUUUUCAUCAACGCCAACACUAUUUUUUUUUUAAAUAGUGUCGGCGUCUGCCAAAUUGGUAUAUCAGCUAUAAGUUGCUAUUGCUAACGUUGCCAAUACUACCUACGCCACUACUAUGUGAGCCCAGUUGUCGUGACCAGUUGCAGUAUAUUGCUGUCGUGCGAUUUAUAAACACGCCAUAGAUACUUAACUUUGUGUUGUCGUGUCUUCGUUCGGAACGCCAGCACUAAGUUGUGACUAUAUAUAGAUGUGUUGACAGCCCCUUGUUCUCAAAUACAUUCACUUACAUUCUCCACAAAAUUCUACUCCCUCUUAGUCAGCUGCUUUGGUGACAAUGGACCCACCGGAGCUUGUCGAAUCGGCACGAGCCCCCCGUUCGAGCCCACGUCGGCGGGGCGUGUUGCAAGUUUGGGACUCCGCCGCCUUGGCCGAGCUCUCAUCUGCCCCGUUGGCCACGACAUGCGCUCGCCACGGCCAAUGCAGCCAACCUGUCCGGCGAAUCAUCCCAUUGCAGCAUGACGUCCCUUCGACGAUCCGGCAGCUAUGCCACCGGCGCCGGAGCUGUCAGGAAUCGAGCGAGGGCACCUGUGCUGCUUUUUUGUGGUUGUGGACGCCCUGCUGAUAAGCAUAUGUCGCACACACAAAAUAAUUCAGAGCGAGAGUUCUACAUCUGCGGUAACCGUGGAAAGGUAAUAUGACUGAAAAUACCUUGAUAUUGAUCUAUUCUGCUAAUUUGCACAAUUCAUGAUCAUUAAUAUAUGUGUGUGUAUAUUCUGAUCCAUAGGCGUUAGGGACAAAAUAUUGCUACACAUGGAUAUGGGUUGAUCUCAUGCAGAAGUAUGUGAGCGAGUUGCUCGAGUACUCCAUUGGUGAACUAAGACAACAGAUAGAUGAGAUGUAGCUCAAGACUAAUGUGAUGCGCGGCUAAAUCCAAAAAUUCAAAAUGCUUCGAUAUAUAUAUAUAUAUAUAUAUAUAUAUAUAUAUAUAUAUAUAUAUAUAUAUAUAUAUAUAUAUAUGACAAAUGUUUCCUAUAAGCAGUGGUAGUUACCACCACUUGCGUUUUAUAUGUUGUAUGUAGUAUCUGUCGAAACCGAGAGUAUGUACGUGUAGUAUGUAGUAUAUAACAAUGAUUAGGUAGUAUAUAUAUAAAUUUUUAGGUAGUAUGUACCAUUUUUUAGUAUGCUCUUUUUUACGUACAAAUAUGUACGUAUUUCAUAAAUAUAACAAAAACUAUGGGCUCAUAUGCAAUUUUUUCACGUAACUUGCUUUGAAAUAUCUUAGAUAUAAUAUAUGAACAUAUUUAAAAUAAUAAAAUAGUAUAUAUAGUAUCACUUGGUAGUAUAUGAAAUAUGUGGGGUAACUACCACCGGGUGGUAGGAUGGAUUUUUCACUUGGUAGUAUAUGAAAUGCGCGCAGACUCACAAUAUCGGCUGCGCUAUUGUGAGUCGCAUUUUGACUUAAGCUACGCUCCGGCCCCUCUUAAUCAGGCGCGCGACCCGGCACCCUCUUAAUCAGGCGCGCGACCCGGCACGAAGAAGCCAGGUUGUUUGAGGGUAACGGCAUGCGGGGAAAAAAAGUAACAUAUUUAAUUCUGUUACCAUCUGUUUGUCCCAUACAUUCUGAUCUUGGGUCACUAUUCAUUGCCAGUAAUAUAUUAAGUAUGGAUGGUAACGAAGCAAGGUUUUUUACCGGGCACUGAGAUAUCGAAGGUUUCAUCCUAAACAUUGCCGGUAAUAGAAUAAGGGUAGAUAGUAAUGUAUUACUACAUGCUCACAAAUUGGCCGCUAAUUGCACGCUCGGCGCACCGCUCGGCUAUUGGAACCCCAGCUCCGCCUUGUUGUAGCAAAUGAUGGUAAAUAGAAAAGAAAAGUAUGGUAAUAUAUUUAAUGUUCGUUACCAUUGCCACGUGCCUCAGUUCCAUAUCGUAUCCUUUUUGUUAAUGGCAGUAAAUGUGCUAGCGUAUGUGGUAAUGGAAUGCAAUGCUUUUACCAAGUUACAGCCCCACGGUAUGCCCCAUGGCUCCACCACUAAUGAUGGUAAAAAAAGGAACUAUAUGGUGAUGGAAUAAUUGUAUUACUAGUGCCGUGAACCACUGCUUGCUAUGUGGUAAUUGCAUUACCAUAUAUGGACCCCUCCUAUCACUAAGCAUGGUAAAGGUAUGAACAUAUAUGAUAAUGGAAUAAUUGUAUUAUUAUUGUCGUGAACCAAUGCUUGCUAUGUGGAAACUGCAUUACCAUAUAUGUAUAUGGGUCAGUAAAGAGACCUGCUUCGGUUACUAUAGAAAAAGAAAUAUUUUACUUUUUUCAUGAAGGCAUAUGACAACACCGUACAAAUCUGUAUUACUAUCGAUUGCUACAACUUUAUGAUCAAAAUAUGAUAAGCUCAGAAGGUCAUACGGGGCGUUCUGUGUGCAUGAUCCACUAGUAAAAUCCAUCAACUAAUUACGACUGAAUUUGUAACCGCACUGCGGGAGGGGUGGGGACUAAAAUAUCCGACUGAUUAGCGUGCGCACCGUGGGCCGGAGCGUACGCUUAGUCAUAUACUAUCAUGUGGUACUAUAUAUACUACUUUACCAUUUUAAAUAUAUUCGUAUACUAUAUCUAAGAUAUUUCAGAGCAAGUUACAUGAAAAAAUUGCAUAUGAGCCCAUAUUUUUUGUUAUAUUUGUGAAAUACGUACAUAUUUAUACGUAAAAAAGAGCAUACUCAAAACAUGGUAUAUACUACCUAAAAAUUAGUAUAUAUACUACCUAAUCAUUGUUAUAUACUACAUAUUACACGUGCAUACUCUCGAUUUCGACGGAUACUACAUAUAACAUACAAAACGCAAGUGAUGGUAACUACCACUGCUUGUAGGAAACAUUUAUCCUAUAUAUAUAUAUAUAUAUAUAUAUAUAUAUAUAUAUAUAAUUUUCAUCUUUCAACUAUUAUGUAUCUAUGCUAAAUUAAUGAGAUCGGUCGAUGUUGGCCGGUGUUCUCUAAUUACUGGUUUCCCUUGUAUGGUUACAUAUUUACACAAAAUAAUUAGUAAAAAUAAUAAUAUAAUAAAUAAUAGGAAAAUAAAAUAAUAAAAUAAUAAACUAACCAUCUAUAUAAAUAUAAAAAACAAUAUGUCUAACACAUAAGUAAAAGUAAAAAACAAUACGUGUAACAGAUAGCAAUGGCGUUGGCCGCGUAGGCCAACGCCAGCAAUUACCCCGGCGCCCCGGCAGGAGAUAUUGAUUAAAUUAAUCCCUCCCCACACACACAACCAUCGAUCCUCAUUAAUUCGUCGUCGCCCUCGCCUCCGCUUACCCCGCCUCCCUCGCCUCCAUUGCUUCCACCGUCGCCUCUGCCUCCACCACCAAAGUCCCCGUCGUCGUUGCCUCCGCCUCCACCGCCAAAGUCCCCAUCCUCGUCGCCUCCGUCCCCGUCCCCACCGUCGUCCCCGUUCCCGUCGCCGUCGCCUCCGUCGAAGCCCCCGUCGUCGUCGCCUCCACAUCCACCCCGGCCCCAUCGCACCCCGCAACGCCUCCUCAUCGUCUACCGCCGCCACGGGUGAGUUCUACUUAGUGUAGUGUAAUAGUAGUGUAGAAUAAUAUCGAAUUUUGUGUAUACGAGUAGUGUAAGAUUGUAUUUCUAGUAGUGUACUUGUGGUGAAGGAAUGUAGUGUAGUUGUAGACUAGCUAUGAUUUUAGAUAGUGUAAUUUUAUUGUAUUUCUAAUAGUGUACUUGUGGUGAAAGAAUGUAGUGUAGUUGUAGACUAUGAUUUUAGAUAGUGUAAUUUUAUUGUAUUUAUAGUAGUGUACUUAUGGUGAAAGCACGUUUUAUGCAUUGUAGGUUUUGCAGGUACUCGUUAAUAUGCCCAUUACUAACUUGUUAGUUAUAUAUAUGCAUCGUCAUAGAUGGCUCCAAAGUUUUGGGGUGUGUGACAGAAGGGAAAUAAGAACUAUGCCACCAUUAGGAAGGACAAUGUCGUCCACGUACUUGGCCAUUGGGACACCCCGGAGUUAGCGGCGCGCGCUUAUGAUGCCAUGGCAGUAGAGUUCUUUUAGGAAGGGGCAUAUCUGAACUUCCCUGAGUGUCGUGAGUUCGUGAUGUUCCUCGCGCCUGAGGACAUGAGGAUAUGCACUAGGGUUGAGGAGAAGGAGAGCAAAGAUGCUGAGAUGCAGUUCUUUGACCCAAUGGUGAGCGAGCUUGCGAGAGAUGACAAACUCGUGGAGGCCAACAAGAUGAUGUUACUCCAGUAUGCAACCAGGAAGAGCGCAGAGGAGGAUCCCAUAGACUAGGAUGCCUUGGAGCGUGAGGAGGAGGGUCAGCAAGGGUGUCGUCGUAGGUCCACUAGGCACGACCACGAGGCCGGUCCCUCUGGCCACUAGCUUAGCGCGCACUACCUAUUUCAUAUGAACUGUUUAACUUUAUGCAUGUUUUAUGUUUGAACUACACAUGGGUAGAACUGUUUUUUUACAAGUACGUAUGUGUCAAUAACUAGAUGUGCGGAUAGCGCUGGUUCGUACUAACUGCUUAUGUUGCAUUAUAUUUAUGUGCAUCUGUUAUGUAUGCUUAUUUUUCUCAACUUCAUGCAUGAAAACAGUAAAUGGAUGCCCCAUGUGAGACCUGUGGUUCAGUGAGAUGCCAAAGGGAUAAGAAGUUCUUCAUAGAUCUGCGAAUGACUUCUUCACUAGGACGGUAUGUUUUAGUUGAAUAUGUUCUGAUUGAGUUUCAUAUGAUGCAUACGGUUGUGCCCAAAAUUGUGUAACUAGAUAGCUACUUCUUUCUUUCAAUUUUGCUCAGGUCAUCCCUUGCGGGGCAAGGCGUGACUUCUUAGAGAAGUUUAAAGUUCCAGUUGAUGCAACCAUCACAUUCCAGUGCACCCUCAUGAAGAUGCUGACGGUCCAAAAAUUCAAUUGUCUUGUCACCAACGAUACAAACCGCACCUACUUCGGUUGCCCUGGUUGGAAAGCCCUUGCAAAUGCUUAUAAGAUGGAAGCUGGAGAGAGAGCCACAUUCUACCUUGACUACGAUCGUGACGAGAUCAUGGUCUACUACAAGCUUGCUGGCAGCGAUGAUGGUUCACUUACUCCAGACUAUGACCCUGACUUCGUUCGCUAAAAAUUCGUAGUUAGCUAGUUGGCAUGCAUGGAAGAUAUCAUGUUAUUAUCACCUCUAUUUAUUUGAACUUGUAGAUUCAUAUGUGUGUUACUUUGCCUACUUUGUUGAACUAUAUCAAUAAGUGCAUUGUUGAACUUAAAUGUUGUCAUUGGGUCUAUUUAUAGUUGAUUUAUUAACUGUUCUUAAACUGGAUUAUGCUGUCAUUUUUGCUGAAAUCGUUGUUGUACAACUUUUAUUUCAAAUUUGAAAAUCAAAUUAUUGGCGUCGAGAAAACAUGAAGCAUCACAACUGAUGAUUAAUACUGCUGGCGUGGACCACGCGGCACACCAUUACCGUCCAAAAUACUGAUGGUGUAGGUACCAACGCCAACGCUAAUUUUUAAUAUGGCGUCGACCCCCUAUGUCGGCAAGGUGGUUUUUAGCACGCCGGGACUAGCAUUUUCUGCACUAGUGCCUUGAUCGCCGCUGGUAACAAUUACCCAAAUAAAAAUAAUAAUCAUUUAUUAUAUUUGGCUGGAUUUGUACCCAACUUUGUUGCAAUGACAUCAUCUCUGAGACAAAGGCCGUCUUAUGCUGCCAUGGCAGCUAGAAAUGAUCAAAAUGUUGUCAUGCAACAUUUGAUAGCCUAGGAUGGUGUCAUGGCAACUUUUUUGAGCCAAAGGGCACAAACUAUUUAUGUUGUCUAGAAACCAUUUUGGGACCCUGGCCGCAUGGGGGGCUGGGGGCUUCCGGUGCUUCCUGGAUUCUUCUAUCUUCAAAAAAAAUCCAUGUUAAUCCCCCAGUUAUUUUGAGCUCCGUAAAUAUGGUUUUCUGUAAAAAGCAAAAACAUGUAGAAAAUAACUGGCUUUGGACACUUAAUUGUUAGGUUAGUCAAUGAAAAAUAAUAAAAAAUGAUAUAAAAGUAUUUAAAAGUGAUAUUAUAAUAACAUGAAAUAAUAAAAAAUUAUAGAUACGUUUGAGAAGUAUCAUCGAGCACGCCGAUCAUCUUAUCUCCAGCCUCGAUAAUGUAGGCGUCACAGAUCUCCUUCCAUUCGUUGACGACGAGGUAACUAUCUUUGGUGACGUUGAGUAGGUGCAUGGUAUGUCCAUCUCGUCAAAGAAAACAACUCACAUGUCACCACUACGCCGAGCCUGCAUUUUCUCAAGCAAGACACGUCUUGGGAGUUCUCUUGCAAGAACACAAUUGCUAAGCAUUGGUCAUACCACAUGUUUUGGUCUUUCUAUUAAUCAGCGUCUGGAAUGCCUAUCCCAUGCUAUGAGGUUGAUGAUGAACUCUUCAAUGCCUCCGCUGACAUAUCGUUGGGUGAUGGAGAAACCGCAAAGUUCUUGGCCUCCCCUGGCGUAAUGGAAAGGUGUCAAAAUAUGUGGCCCCAGGCCUCUUCAUUUUUGCAAGAAAAAAUCUUCGAGUCGCCGAUGCCUUCGCGAAUGAUCGCUGGAUGAAAGGCCUUGAACGCCUCUCAACGAUUGAUGACCUUCGGUCCUUCAUCUUGCUAUGGAGGCAAAUCCAACGCCAACAUCUGGUAUCACCUGGAUACCUGGAAGUGGAAUGCAAACAAUUCAUAUUUUUUGCCUCUGCAUAUGCAUGCUAGUUUGUCGGAUCCAUACCACAACCUCACCUUGAGAAAAGAUGGGGCCUGAAAAUGGAGAGAAAAAACAUUUUUUUUCCACAUGGUUGUUCGCUCAAAAUAGGCUACUAACCACUUAUCGACUCUAGGCAAGAGGAAGCAAGCACAACCUUGUGCUCUUUGUGUGAUCAAGUUCUUGAGUCAGCCAUUCAUCUCAUAUAUACAUUCCCAUUCAUUGUUGAAGCAUGGUUCAAACUUGGCCAGUGAAUGCCACAACUUGCAGCUAUUGAAAUCACCCAGUUCAUCUCAAUCACAGAUUGUUGGGUCUCUUUCAACUCAAAGUCAAAACCGACCGCCGUGGCUGCUGCUUUUUUUGCCUGGCACUUGUGGAAUGAAUAGAACCGCUGCACCUUCCUGGACUCUGCCUCAUGGGCGGACUUUGCCAUUUGCAUGAUCAAAGCUGACUUAGAUUUACUAGAUGUAGUUCUUUAGACUUUGUUUUUAUGUAGACAUCGCCACUGGACGACCGUAAUCAUCUCUUGUAAAUCCCUUAUCUUUAAUAAAAAGGAAGAACUCAUGUCGCUUUGGCUAAAAAUAGACAUGACUUGUAAGCGUGUGUCACUCGUAGUUUCCGCUUACGAGUCUACUGUGAAGCACGGAAGUGGAGUAGACUAACGAAUUGAUUGAACCUGUUGCGAACAUGAUGUAGGUGUGUGACCUUCUUGAUUGAGGCUGGAGUAGUAAAAAUUGUUUGUACCCUGAUGCACAUUAGCCCAUGCAGAUUUGCCUCUGUGUUUAAGUCAAUGACAUCUAUUAAUACCCCCUCCUGGUAAACUAUCGAGACAUGGCUGCAGAUGAGUUCCACCUCCGAUUGCAAACUCACAGUGGCAUUAAAAUUUAAAGAAUAUAAUGCAUUUCAGGGGGUUUAUAUAAGCAUCUUGGAGCGAAGAGGUGCCGAAUGAGGUGUCGCGGGAGCCCAAGUACUGGUCCAGGCACCCCUUGGACGCAUGGGGCCAGGGGACUCCAUGGUCCAUCUUUGGCAUGUGUGUACUUGCCUUCCUUUUCCAUGAAGUGCCAUAUUUUUCUUUUUCUUUUGUUAUUCUUAUAAAUACUUAAAAUCAGUGUUACGAAGACAUGAAACUGGCCUUUCUGGCACGGGGUUAAUAUGUUAGUCCAUUUUUUUUUGCAUGAUAAGGCAAAAUAUAACAUGAAACAUACAAAAAUUACAUAUAUGUUUAGAAUGUAUCUGUUGGAAAUAUGCCCUAGAGGCAAUAAUAAAUAGGUUAUUAUUAUAUUUCCUUGUUCAUGAUAAUUGUUUAUUAUCCAUGCUAAAAUUGUAUUGAUAGGAAACUCAGAUACAUGUGUGGAUACAUAGACAACACCAUGUCCCUAGUAAGCCUCUAGUUGACUAGCUCGUUGAUCAAUAGAUGGUUACGGUUUCCUGACCAUGGACAUUGGAUGUCGUUGAUAACGGGAUCACAUCAUUAGGAGAAUGAUGUGAUGGACAAUGACCCAAUCCUAAGCCUAGCACAAGAUCGUGUAGUUCGUUUGCUAAGUGCUUUUCUAAUGUCAAGUAUCAUUUCCUUAGACCAUGAGAUUGUGCAACUCCCGGAUACCGUAGGAAUGCUUUGGGUGCACCAAACAUCACAACGUAACUGGGUGACUAUAAAGGUGCAUUACGGGUAUCUCCGAAAGUGUCUGUUGGGUUGGCACGAAUCGAGACUGGGAUUUGUCACUCCGUGUAAACGGAGAGGUAUCUCUGGGCCCACUCGGUAGGACAUCAUCAUAAUGUGCACAAUGUGACCAAGGAGUUGAUCACGGGAUGAUGUGUUACGGAACGAGUAAAGAGACUUGCCGGUAACGAGAUUGAACAAGGUAUCGGGAUACCGACGAUCGAAUCUCGGGCAAGUAACAUACCGAUAGACAAAGGGUAUUGUAUACGGGAUUGAUUGAAUCCUCGACAUCGUGGUUCAUCCGAUGAGAACAUCGUGGAACAUGUGGGAGCCAACAUGGGUAUCCAGAUCCCGCUGUUGGUUAUUGACCGGAGAGUCGUCUCGGUCAUGUCUGCAUGUCUCCCGAACCCGUAGGGUCUACACACUUAAGGUUCGGUGACGCUAGGGUUAUAGAGAUAUUAGUAUGCGGUAACCCGAAAGUUGUUCGGAGUCCCGGAUGAGAUCUCGGACGUCACAAGGAGUUCCGGAAUGGUCCGGAGGUAAAGAUUUAUAUAUGGGAAGUCUUAUUUUGGUCGCCGGAAAAGUUUCGCGCAUUAUCGGUAUUGUACCGGGAGUGCCGAAAGGGGUCCGGGGGUCCACCAAGGGGGUCCACCAGCCCCGGGGGGCCACAUGGGCUGUAGGAGGUGCGCCUUGGCCCAUAUGGGCCAAGGGAACCAGCCCCAAGAGGCCCAUGCGCCAAGAGAUAAGAUAAACGGAGAGUCCUAAAGGGGGAAGGCACCUCCGAGGUGCCUUGGGGGGGAAGGACUCCUCCCUGGCCGCACCCUUCCUUGGAGGAAGGGCCAAGGCUGCCCCCCUCUCCCUUGGCCCUAUAUAUAGUGGGGGGAAGGGAGGGCAGCAAUAUCCAAGCCCUGGCGCCUCCCUCUCCCUCCCGUGACACCUCUCCCUCCUCCCGCAGCGCUUGGCGAAGCCCUGUUGGAAUCCCGCUACUUCCACCACCACGCCGUCGUGCUGCUGGAUCUCCAUCAACCUCUCCUUCCCCCUUGCUGGAUCAAGAAGGAGGAGACGUCGCUGCUCCGUACGUGUGUUGAACGCGGAGGUGCCGUCCGUUCGGCGCUAGGAUCAUCGGUGAUUUGGAUCACGACGAGUACGACUCCAUCAACCCCGUUCUCUUGAACGCUUCCGCUCGUGAUCUACAAGGGUAUGUAGAUGCACUCCUUCCCUCUCGUUGCUAGUAAACUCCAUAGAUUGAUCUUGGUGAUGCGUAGAAAAUUUUGAAUUUCUGCUACGUUCCCCAACAGUAUCAACCAUCCAUGUCGAUACAAAUUAGAUUCGACUGAAUAAAGCCAGUAGUUAUACAUAAUGUGGGCAUCUUUGAGCAAACAAAAAAUAAAUAAAAUAAACAACAAUAGACAAAUUAGAUAACAAAGAAAGAGGAAAUGAAUUACUAUAUUGCUAUAUAGAGCACCAACUGUUGUCUUCUAUGUGAAGAUUAACAAUCAAAGAGAGCAGUGUUUCCCACAAUGUAACCACUUGUUCCUGGCCGCAUAAGAUAGAGCCCAAUAGAACCCUGGUCUCCAAGCCCCCGAUGCAAAAUGCAUAACCAAACAAAGGUGAUCAGCUCUCCUCCCAUUGCUAGUGUUCGGGCGUGCUCUUCGGGACGACACUUGCCAGCUGCGUAGAUGAGCAACCAUAACCACACCUGAAUUAGCACUCCAAAAACUGCAUGGGGACCAUGCUCCGGCAAUAACAUCCUUUCCACCCCCUCCUCCAACCCUAGUUCAUCCCAAAGAAUACGUGAAGUUUCAUCAAGGAGAUCAUAGAUUGAUGCUUUAUCAAACAUCUCAUUGCUCCUAACUUGAAUUUUCUUCUUCAAGUUUGCUACUACCUCGUCCACGUUGUUGUUGACUGGCAACAUGGUAGGGUUCACGAUCAGAAGGUGCAUCAUGUAGUUAGAGAGCCCCUUACCUUGAUCCAUGAGCGUUUGAGUCUCUUCAGAAAUGUCAGCCACAAAAACACGGGUCAUUUGUAUCAGACACUCUGUCCAAAUGUGCAGGGCUAGCAAGGCUGUCUCGAAAGGCAACCGAUCAAUUACUAUUUCAAAAUGAGACAUUGAAGCAGGCAAGCUCAAAGCAUCAAUCCAGUAUAGUUGAUUCUGUAGGGGAUCGUAGCAGAAUUUUUAAAAAAAAUUCCUACGCAUCACCAAGAUCCAUCUAUGGAGUAUACUAGCAACGAGGGGAAAGGAGUGCAUCUACAUACCCUUGUAGAUCGCGAGCGGAAGCGUUCCAAUGAACGGGUUGAUGGAGUCGUACUCGCCGUGAUCCAAAUCACCGAUGACCGAGUGCCGAACGGACGGCACCUCCGCGUUCAACACACGUACGGAGCAGCGACAUCUCCUCCUUCUUGAUCCAGCAAGGGGGAAGGAGAGGUUGAUGGAGAUCCAGCAGCACGACGGCGUGGUGGUGGAAGUAGCGGGGUCUCGGCAGGGCUUCGCCAAGCUUCUGCGAGAGGGAGAGGUGUUGCAGGGGGAGAGGGAGGCGCCAGGGGCUGUCAUGUUGCUGCCCUCCCUCCCCCCACUAUAUAUAGGCCCCCUGGGAGGGGGGGGCGCCGGCCUGGAUCCCAUCUGCAAGGGGGGGGGGGCGGCGGCCAGGGGGAAACUUACCCCCCAAGGCAAGUGGGGCGCCCCCUCCACCCUAGGGUUUCCAACCCUAGGCGCAGGGGGGAGGCCCAUGGGGGGCGCCCCAGCCCACUUCAGCCCAUGGGGCCCUCCGGGAUAGGUGGCCCCACCCGGUGGACCCCCGGGACCCUUCCGGUGGUCCCGGUACACUACCGGUGACCCCCGAAACUUUCCCGGUGGCCGAAACUUGACUUCCUAUAUAUAAUUCUUCACCUCCGGACCAUUCCAGAACUCCUCGUGACGUCCGGGAUCUCAUCCGGGACUCCGAACAACUUUCGGGUUUCCGCAUACUAAUAUCUCUACAACCCUAGCGUCACCGAACCUUAAGUGUGUAGACCCUACGGGUUCGGGAGACAUGCAGACAUGACCGAGACGCCUCUCCGGUCAAUAACCAACAGCGGGAUCUGGAUACCCAUGUUGGCUCCCACAUGUUCCACGAUGGUCUCAUCGGAUGAACCACGAUGUUGAGGAUUCAAUCAAUCCCGUAUACAAUUCCCUUUGUCAAUCGGUACGUUACUUGCCCGAGAUUCGAUCGUCGGUAUCCCAAUACCUUGUUCAAUCUCGUUACCGGCAAGUCACUUUACUCGUACCGUAAUGCAUGAUCCCGUAGCUAACUCCUUAGUCACAUUGAGCUCAUUAUGAUGAUGCAUUACCGAGUGGGCCCAGAGAUACCUCUCCGUCAUACGGAGUGACAAAUCCCAGUCUCGAUCCGUGCCAACCCAACAGACACUUUCGGAGAUACCCGUAAUGCACCUUUAUAGUCACCCAGUUACGUUGUGACGUUUGGUACACCCAAAGCACUCCUACGGUAUCCGGGAGUUGCACGAUCUCAUGGUCUAAGGAAAUGAUACUUGACAUUGGAAAAGCUCUAGCAAACGAACUACACGAUCUUUUAUGCUAUGCUUAGGAUUGGGUCUUGUCCAUCACAUCAUUCUCCUAAUGAUGUGAUCCCGUUAUCAACGACAUCCAAUGUCCAUGGUCAGGAAACCGUAACCAUCUGUUGAUCAACGAGCUAGUCAACUAGAGGCUUACUAGGGACAUGGUGUUGUCUAUGUAUCCACACAUGUAUCUGAGUUUCCUAUCAAUACAAUUCUAGCAUGGAUAAUAAACGAUUAUCAUGAACAAGGAAAUAUAAUAAUAACCAAUUUAUUAUUGCCUCUAGGGCAUAUUUCCAACAGUCUCCCACUUGCACUAGAGUCAAUAAUCUAGUUCACAUCACCAUGUGAUUAACACUCACAGGUCACAUCACCAUGUGACCAACAUCCAAAGAGUUCACUAGAGUCAACAAUCUAGUUCACAUCAUUAUGUGAUUAACACUCAAUGAGUUCUGGUUUGAUCAUGUCAUGCUUGUGAGAGAGGUUAUUAGUCAACGGGUCUGAACCUUUCAGAUCCGUGUGUGCUUUACGAAUAUCUAUGUCAUCUUGUGGAUGCUACCACGCGCUACUUGGAGCCAUUUCAAAUAACUGUUCUACUAUACGAAUCCGGUUUACUACUCAGAGUCUUCCGGAUUAGUGUCAAAGUUCGCAUCGACGUAACCCUUUACGACGAACUCCUUUUCACCUCCAUAAUCGAGAAAAUUCCUUAGUCCACUACUUCCUCCGUUCCUAAAUAUAAGUCUUUUUAGAGAUUUCACUACAGACUACAUACAGAACAAAAUGAGUGAAUCUAUACUCUAAAAUAUGUCUAUAUACAUCUGUAUGUAGUUUGUAUUGAAAUCCUAGAAAGACUUAUAUUUAGGAACGGAGGGAGUAGAUACUAAGGACAAGUUCGACCGCUGUCAUGUGAUCCGUUCCCGGAUCACUAUUGUACCCCUUGACCAACUCAUGGCAAGGCACACUUCAUGUGCGGUACACAGCAUAACAUACUAUAGAGCCUACGUCUAAAGCAUAGGGGACGACCUUUGUCCUUUCUCUCUCUUCUGCUGUGGUCAGGUCUUGAGUCUUACUCAAUAAUCACACCUUGUAACACAGCCAAGAACUCCUUCUUUGCUGAUCUAUUUUGAACUCUUUCAAAAUCAUGUCAAGGUGUGCGUUCUUUGAAAGUAUCAUCAGACGUCUUGAUCUAUCUCUAUAGAUCUUGAUGCCCAAUAUGUAAGCAGCUUUAUCCAGGUCUUCCUUUGAAAAACUCCUUUCAAACAACCCUUUAUGCUUUCCAGAAAUUUUACAUCAUUUCGGAUCAACAAUAUGUCAUUCACAUAUACUUAUCAGAAAUGUUGUAGUGCUCCCACUCACUUUAUUGUAGAUACAAGUUUCUAACAAACUUUGUAUAAACCCAAAAACUUUGAUCACUCCAUCAAAGCGUAUAUUCUGACUCCGAGAUGCUUGCUCUAGUCCAUGGAAGGAUCACUGGAGCUAGCAUACCUUUUAGCAUCCUUAGGAUCGACAAAACCUUUCUGAUUGUAUCACAUACAACCUUUCCUUACGAAAACUGGUAAGGAAACUUGUUUUGACAUCCAUCUGCCAGAUUUCAUAAAUGCAGCUAAUACUAACAUGAUUCCGACGGACUUAAGCAUCGCUACGGAUGAGAAAAUCUCAUCGUAGUCAACUCCUUGAACUUGUGAAAAUACUCUUUGCCACAAGUCGAGCUUCAUAGACGGUAACAUUACCGUCCACGUCCGUCUUCUUCUUAAAGAUCCAUUUAUCUCAAUGGCUUGCCGAUCACCGGGCAAGUUCACCAAAGUCCAUGCUUUGUUCUGAUACAUGGAUUCUAUCUCGGAUUUCAUGGUUUCUAACCAUUUGUCGGAAUAUGGGCCCACCAUCGCUUCUCCAUAGCUCGUAGGUUCAUUGUUGUCUAACAACAUGAUAUCUAAGACAGGAUUACCGUACCACUCAGGAGUAGUACAUAUCCUUGUCGACCUACUAGGUUUGGUAGUGACUUGAUCCGAAGUUUCAUGAUCACUAUCAUAAGCUUCCACUUCAAUUGGUGUAGGUGCCACAGGAACAACUUCCUGUGCCCUGCUACACACUAGUUGAAGUUAUGGUUCAAUAACCUCAUCAAGUCUCCACCAUCCUCCCACUCAAUUCUUUCGAGAGAAACUUUUCCUCGAGAAAGGACUCGUUUCUAGAAGCAAUUACUUUCGCUUCCAGAUCUGAAAUAGGAGGUAUACCCAACUGUUUUGGGUUUUCUAUGAAGAUGCAUUUAUCCGCUUUGGGUUCGAGCUUAUCAGCUUGAAACUUUUUCACAUAAGCAUCGCAGCCCCAAACUUUUAAGAAACGACAACUUAGGUUUCUCUAAACGGUGUCGUCUCAACGGAAUUGCGUGGUGCCCCUUUUAAAGUGAAUGCGGUUAUCUCUAAUGCCUAACCCAUAAACGAUAGUGGUAAUUCGAUAAGAUACAUCAUGGCAUGCACCAUAUCCAAUAGGGUGCAGUUAUGAUGUUCGGACACACCAUCACACUGUGGUGUUCCAGGCGGUAUUUAUUGUGAAACACUUUCCACAAUGUCUUAAUUGUGUGCCAAACUCGUAACUCAGAUACUCAUCUCUAUGAUCAUAUCACAGACAUUUUAUCCUCUUGUCACGACGAUCUUCAACUUCACUCUGAAAUUACUUGAACCUUUCAAUAAUUCAGACUUGUGUUUCAUCAAGUAAAUACACUCAGCAUCUACUCAAAUCAUCUGUGAAGUAAGAACAUAACGAUAUCCACUGCAUGCCUCAGCACUCAUUGGACUGCAUACAUCAAAAUGUAUUACUUCCAAUAAGUUGCUCUCUUGUUCCAUCUCACUGAAAACGAGGCCUUUCAGUCAUCUUGCCCAUGUGGUAUGAUUUGCAUGUCUCAAGCGAUUCAAAAUCAAGUGAGUCCAAACGAUCCAUCUGCAUGGAGUUUCUUCAUGCAUAUAUGCCAAUAGCCAUGGUUCGCAUGUCUCAAUCUUUUAAAAAAUGAGUGAGUCCAAAGAUCCAUCUACAUGGAGCUUCUUCAUGCGUUUUAUACCAAUAUGACUCAAGUGGCAGUGCCACAAGUAUGUGGUACUAUCAUUACUAUCUUAUAUCUUUUGGCAUGAACAUGUGUAUCACUACGAUCGAGAUUCAUUUUAGGUGCAAGACCAUUGAAGGUAUUAUUCAAAUAAACAGAGUAACCAUUAUUCUCCUUAAGUGAAUAACCGUAUUGCGAUAAACAUAAUCCAAUCAUGUUUAUGCAAACGCCAAACGCCAAAUAACAAUUAUUUAGGUUUAACACCAAUCUCGAUGGUAGAGGGAGCAUGCGAUGCUUGAUCACAUCAACCUUGGAGACACUUCCAACACAUAUCGUCAUCUCACCUUUAGCUAGUCUCCGUUUAUUCCACAGCUUUUAUUUCGAGUUACUAACACUUAGCAACCGAACCGGUAUCUAAUACCCUGGUGCUGCUAGGAGUACUAGUAAAGUACACAUUCAUUUAAUGUAUAUCCAAUAUACUUCUGUCGACCUUGCCUGCCUUCUCAUCUACCAAGUAUCUAGGGUAGUUCUGCUUCAGUGACCGUUCCCCUCAUUACAGGAGCACUUAGUCUCGGGUUUGGGUUUAACUUUGGGAUUCUUCGCUAGAGCAGCAAAUGAUUUGCUGUUUCAUGAAGUAUCCCUUCUUGCCCUUGCCCUUCUAGAAACUAGUGGUUUUACUAACCAUCAACAAUUGAUGCUCCUUCUUGAUUUCUACUUUCGCGGUGUCAAACAUCGCGAGUUGCUCAAGGAUCAUCAUAUCUAUCCCUGAUAUGUUAUAGUUCAUCACGAAGCUCUAAUAGCUUGGUGGCAGUGACUAUGGAGAACCAUCACUAUCUCAUCUGGAAGAUUAACUCCCACUCGAUUCAAGCGAUUGUGGUACUCAGACAAUCUGAGCACAUGCUCAACGAUUGAGCUUUUCUCCCUCAGUUUGCAGGCUUAAGAAACUUGUCAGAGGUCUCAUACCUCUUGACGUAGGCACUAGUCCGAAAUCCCAAUUUCAGUCUUCGGAACAUCUCAUAUGUUCUGCGACGUUUCAAAAACCGUCUUUGGUGCCACAAUUCUAAACCGUUAGCACUACGCACUGAACUAUCACGUAGUCAUCAAAACGUGUAUGUCAGAUGUUCCGCAACAUCUACAGACGACGCUGAGGUUCAGCAUACCGAGCGGUGCAUUAAGGACAUAAGCCUUCUGUGCAGCAAUGAGGACAAUCCUCAGUUUACGGACCCAGUCCGCAUAAUUGCUACUACCAACUUUCAACUAAAUUUUCUCUAGGAACAUAUCUUAACCAGUAGAACUAAAGCGCAAGCUAUGACAUAAUUUGCAAAGACCUUCUGACUAUGUUCAUGAUAAUUAAGUUCAUCUGAUUAAUGAACUCCCACUCAGAUAGACAUCCUCUAGUCAUCUAAGUGAUACAUGAUCCGAGUCAAACUAGGCCGUGUCCGAUCAUCACGUGAGACGGACUAGUCAUCAUCGGUGAACAUCUCCAUGUUGAUCGUAUCUACUAUACGACUCAUGUUCGACCUUUCGAUCUCUUGUGUUCCGAGGCCAUGUCUGUACAUGCUAGGCUCGUCAAGUCAACCUAAGUGUUUCGCAUGUGUUCCGAGGCCAUGUCUGUACAUGCUAGGCUCGUCAACACCCGUUGUAUUCGAACGUUAGAAUCUAUCACACCCGAUCAUCACGUGGUGCUUCGAAACAACGAACCUUCGCAACGGUGCACAGUUAGGGGGAACACGUCUCUUGAAAUUUUAGCGAGGGAUCAUCUUAUUUAUGCUACCGUCAUUCUAAGCAAAUAAGAUGUAAACAUGAUAAACAUCACAUGCAAAUCAUAAAGUGACGUGAUAUGGCCAAUAUCAUCCUGCGCCUUUGAUCUCCAUCUUCGAGGCGCGGCAUGAUCACCUUCGUCACCGGCAUGACACCAUGAUCUCCAUCAUCAUGAUCUCCAUCAUUGUGUCUUCAUGAAGUUGUCUCGCCAACUAUUACUUCUACUACUAUGGCUAACGGUUAGCAAUAAAGUAAAGUAAUUACAUGGCGUUUUCAUUGACAUGCAGGUCAUACAAUAAAUUAAGACAACUCCUAUGGCUCCUGCCGGUUGUCAUUCUCAUCGACAUGCAAGUCGUGAUUCCUAUUACAAGAACAUGAUCAAUCUCAUACAUCACAUAUAUCAUUCAUCACAUCCUUUUUGGCCAUAUCACAUCACAUAGCAUACCCUACAAAAACAAGUUAGACGUCCUCUAAUUGUUGUUGCAUGUUUUACGUGGCUGCUAUGGGUUUCUAGCAAGAACGUUUCUUACCUACGCAAAAGCCACAACGUGAUAUGCCAAUUUCUAUUUACCCUUCAUAAGGACCCUUUUCAUCGAAUCCGAUCCGACUAAAGUGGGAGAGACAGACACCCGCUAGCCACCUUAUGCAACUAGUGCAUGUCAGUCGGUGGAACCUGUCUCACGUAAGAGUACGUGUAAGGUCGGUCCGGGCCGCUUCAUCCCACGAUGCCGCCGAAUCAAGAUAAGACUAGUAACGGCAAGAAGAAUUGACAACAUCAACGCCCACAACUACUUUGUGUUCUACUCGUGCAUAGUAACUACGCAUAGGCCUGGCUCAUGAUGCCACUGUAGGGGAUCGUAGCAGAAUUAAAAAAAAAUUCCUACGCAUCACCAAGAUCCAUCUAUGGAGUAUACUAGCAACGAGGGGAAAGGAGUGCAUCUACAUACCCUUGUAGAUCGCGAGCGGAAGCGUUCCAAUGAACGGGUUGAUGGAGUCGUACUCGCCGUGAUCCAAAUCACCGAUGACCGAGUGCCGAACGGACGGCACCUCCGCAUUCAACACACGUACGGAGCAGCGACGUCUCCUCCUUCUUGAUCCAGCAAGGGGGAAGGAGAGGUUGAUGGAGAUCCAGCAGCACGACGGCGUGGUGGUGGAAGUAGCGGGGUCUCGGCAGGGCUUCGCCAAGCUUCUGCGAGAGGGAGAGGUGUUGCAGGGGGAGAGGGAGGCGCCAGGAGCUGUCAUGUUGCUGCCCUCCCUCCCCCCACUAUAUAUAGGCCCCUGGGAGGGGGGGCGCCGGCCUGGAUCCCAUCUGCAAGGGGGGGGGGGCGGCCAGGGGGAAACUUACCCCCCAAGGCAAGUGGGGCACCCCCACCCUAGGGUUUCCAACCCUAGGCGCAGGGGGGAGGCCCAUGGGGGGCGCCCCAGCCCACUAAGGGCUGGUUCCCUUCCCACUUCAGCCCAUGGGGCCCUCCGAGAUAGGUGGCCCCACCCGAUGGACCCCCGGGACCCUUCCGGUGGUCCCGGUACACUACCGGUGACCCCCGAAACUUUCCCGGUGGCCGAAACUUGACUUCCUAUAUAUAAUUCUUCACCUCCGGACCAUUCCGGAACUCCUCGUGACGUCCGGGAUCUCAUCCGGGACUCUGAACAACUUUCGGGUUUCCGCAUACUAAUAUCUCUACAACCCUAGCGUCACCGAACCUUAAGUGUGUAGACCCUACGGGUUCGGGAGACAUGCAGACAUGACCGAGACGCCUCUCCGGUCAAUAACCAACAGCGGGAUCUGGAUACCCAUGUUGGCUCCCACAUGUUCCACGAUGAUCUCAUCGGAUGAACCACGAUGUCGAGGAUUCAAUCAAUCCCGUAUACAAUUCCCUUUGUCAAUCGGUACGUUACUUGCCCGAGAUUCGAUCGUCGGUAUCCCAAUACCUUGUUCAAUCUCGUUACCGGCAAGUCACUUUACUCGUACCGUAAUGCAUGAUCCCGUAGCUAACUCCUUAGUCACAUUGAGCUCAUUAUGAUGAUGCAUUACCGAGUGGGCCCAGAGAUACCUCUCCGUCAUACGGAGUGACAAAUCCCAGUCUCGAUCCGUGCCAACCCAACAGACACUUUCGGAGAUACCCGUAAUGCACCUUUAUAGUCACCCAGUUACGUUGUGACGUUUGGUACACCCAAAGCACUCCUACGGUAUCCGGGAGUUGCACGAUCUCAUGGUCUAAGGAAAUGAUACUUGACAUUGGAAAAGCUCUAGCAAAUGAACUACAUGAUCUUUUAUGCUAUGCUUAGGAUUGGGUCUUGUCCAUCACAUCAUUCUCCUAAUGAUGUGAUCCCGUUAUCAACGACAUCCAAUGUCCAUGGUCAGGAAACCGUAACCAUCUAUUGAUCAACGAGCUAGUCAACUAGAGGCUUACUAGGGACAUGGUGUUGUCUAUGUAUCCACACAUGUAUCUGAGUUUCCUAUCAAUACAAUUCUAGCAUGGAUAAUAAACGAUUAUCAUGAACAAGGAAAUAUAAUAAUAACCAAUUUAUUAUUGCCUCUAGGGCAUAUUUCGAACAGAUUUAUUGUUCUGUCGAUGAGCUGUUUGAUCCCUGUUGGAACUUCAACAUACUCGAUGUGUCUCAUUUUGUUCCAGAGCUCAUUAAGUCCAAACACACCCACCAUCUUUGUGAUUGUGCUAAAUAAGAUGCCACACUUGUUGUCAGCAAUGCUAGAACUAACUAAGUUGUACUGCCCCAUGGAGUUUGACCACCACGGCCUAGUUUUUGGCUGCGUUUUCAUGAAGAUAAACCAGGCUACUCGAGCGAGAACACGGAACCCUCGAGUUUCCAAAGUGGCCCAUGUUUGCGGAGAAAUCAUUAGAAUGAAGACUGAACAACCUUCUAAGAAAACAACCCCUAUGAAUAAUAUAUAGGUCAUGGCAGUGUCUAGGAUGGAAAAUUUGUAUGUUUGCUUAGCAGUACCCAUCAUCAAGAUGAAGAGCACAGUGGCGACCAUCGUGGAGGUAAGAGACACACACCAAAGGAUAAUGCCAAUUUUUGUGUGGAUAAUCCUUGAUUUUGUGAAUAGGAGGUCAUACAUGAUGCUAAGCUCAAUCUCUAACCUUUUGAAAAAUAGUUGAGAAUGAUUUCCUUCCUCAUGUUGUUCUUCAUAAAAAGUAUAGAUGGAAUCUUGCAAGGUUUGCAUCAUUUGCAAAAUUAUCUGUUUAGCGAAUAAAUGUUUGACAUGUUGUUGACAAUCAAGAGCACCCUUCACAAUUGUUGGAUAUGUAAACUCAGUUCCAACUUCUUGUUGUACUUCACGUGAUUGCACCACUUCUAUGUGACUGGAGCCCUUAAGGGAUUUCUUGCUCCCUUGCUUGAGUGCCCAUAUCCUCUCCACAUAGUUGAUGAUCCCCGUGAUAAAUACAAAGAUAACCAGAACCGUGAUCCGGUCAUACGCUGCCACAGACUUGCAUAGUACAUACAAAACUAGGGAGACUUGGACUAUCAAAUUUAGCAUGUGCCUCAACCAUAGCUCAUUGUCCUCAAUGGAAAAGGCAGUUAAAGUGUCUUGGCCGCCAAGGUGGACGAGAAGAAAAGGUGCCCACAAGACUUUGAGGAGUUGUGUUUGGUUCGACAUUGCAUGAUCAUUGUUUGUAGUGGUGGUGGGUAAAUGACGAUAGAGGUAGCCUAGUGCGUAUAUGGCAACAGAGUCGGCUGCUAGGUAUGCCAACCAAAGUGGAAGCUGAAGUAGCAUAUGGUUGUUGCGACGCCUGAGGCCACCAAAGAAAAAGAUGAAGAGUUGCAAGGCCAAGAUUAGGAGAAUCAAUAGCUCGAUUUCCCAAUCAUUAAAUAGCUGGACAAUGAUACUGGGCGGAUAACCAACCAUUGUGGGUUCUCUCCAUUCUUGAUUAACGGCUGCACAUUCGCAAGUGAUCAUGUAUUAGUAUAAGGAUAUCAACUCUUUGAGAUAACAAGGUAUACUUCACAUUAACUCAUUAGUACUCUCUCUGACCCAAAAUCUAAAGCAUAUUAGGUUUUGCUAGGAAACACCUUUGACUAGCAUUAAUUUACUCCGCUACUAUGACACACACAUGAUACGUCUUCGAUGCAUCUAUACAUUUUAAUUGUUUCAUGCUAUUAUCAUACAACUUUUAUAUUUUUUGCAACAUUCCAUAUUAUUUUUAUUUGGGCUAACCUAUUAACCUAGUGCCAAAGGCCACUUCCUGUUUUUUAUUGUUUUGGGGUUUUUUAGGUGAAAAUUCAUGGAGCCAAAAUGACCUGAAUUUUGUUGUGAAUUUUUAUGAGAACUAUCACAAUUUUGGGUGAAGGAAUCAAUGCGACAGUUCCCGAGGGCUCACAAGGGUAGGGGCGUGGCCACCCCUGUCCAUGCCAUCGGCCCUUAUGGUCAGCCCUUCAGUCGGCUGGAGCUCUCCUUCGGCCGCAAGAAAGCUAAUUCCUGGAUAAAAAUCCCCUCAAAAUUUCAGCCCGAUUAGAGUUACGGAUCUCCGGCUAUAGAAGAAACGGCGCUUGGCCUCAGAAAUAGUCACGAAAACAGAGAAAAAAAUAAAGAGAAAUCCAAUCUCGGAGGGGCUCUCGCCCUCCAGGAGCCAUGGAGACCAAGGACCAGUGGAGGAAUCAUCUCCCUAUAUGGGGGAGAGUCCAAGGAAGAUCAAGAAGGAGGGAUGCCUGCCUCCCCAUCUCUUCUGGUAAUGCCGGAGCGCCGCCGGGGGAACCAUCGUCGCGGCGAUCAUCUCCAUCAACUUGGUUGUCUUCAUCAACACCUCCAUCACCUUCCUCCCUUUCUAUUCAGCGGUCCACUCUCCCGCAACCCACUGUACUCCUUUACUUGAACAUGGUUUUUGAUGCUAUAAAUUAUUAUACAAUGAUUUGCCUUAUCCUAUUAUGUUUGAGUAGUUUUGUUUUGUCCUAUGGGUAAUUGGUGAUCAUGAUUGUUUUGAGUUGCGUGUUUUAUUUUAUUGCUAUCCUUUAGUGCCCAUCAUAUGAGCGCGCACGUAUAUGGAUCACAUCAUAUGGUUAGUUGUAUGUUGAGAGGAUUAUGCAUAGGCCGUCCGAAGCGACAAAAAUUACCAAGGCUAAGUGUAGGGAUCAAUGCGUAUGGGAUGAAUGGGGUCAAUUUAUCUUAAUGCUAUGAUUGAGGUUUACCUUGAUAAACUUGUUAGUAGUUGUGGAUGCUUGCUAAUAGUUCCAAUCAUAAGUGCCUAAAAUUUCGAGUAAGGAUAGUAGCAGUAGCAGAGGCUAUAACCACGAUUAUCUGUCUAGUUAUCAAUUGCCUAGGGACAAUUUCACACAUCCUACCACCAUUUUUUUCCACACUCGCUAUAUUUAUUUUAUGGUUUUUAUUUAAAUUUAGAUACCACCUAACUUUCCUUUCCAAGUUAUUUAUAUUCUUGCAAACCUAGCUCAUUACACUUGCAAAGUAGUUUUAUUUCUUGUUUCUAGGUAAAACACUCAUUUAAUGUGCGUAGAGUUGUAUCAGUGGUUCAUAGAAUUCGAGAAAAUAUUAAUCUUACCUUUAGCUUCUCGUUGGUUCGACACUCUUACUUAUCGAAAAGGCUACAACUGAUUCCCUACACUUGUGGGUUAUCAACGCGCUCGCGCACACAAUAGUGCUAGUAAAAUUGUAUAGAAAAUCUAGUAAAACGGCGUAAAAAGAAGAGUAAGUGCAAAACACCGUUUUGCUAUCUAAGUCACAAAUUUAGUACAUUGUUCAAAAAAUUACUGUAUUUUGUACUCUAUGUUACUAUAUUUUGUACACUUAUUACUAGGGACCAGAUGUAGAAUAAGCUAUAUGCAUGCUAAAUUCAUGCUUAGAAUAGCCUCUACGCGCGCGCGCGUGUGUGUUUGUAACAUAGAGUUGAUGUUCUUAGACCCAUUAUUUUGUUAACAUAUAUAAAAAUUUAAGUGUUGGCUAUAUAAUUUGUAAUGUCCUAUUAAGAAUUUAACAAAUGAUGCAUGCAUGACUAUGGUAUGGGCCAGGUCAAGCUAAUCUUCUUCAACCUUCUUCUGAGCUAGCUACGCUUACAUGGCAAAGAAUACAUACUCAGAAGUUAUGUUCCGCAGUAGUGCGGAUACCAUGCAAUGUGUGCAACAUUGACGUUCCAGAGAGAAAACAUGAGCAUAGUGCUUACAUGAUGUUCAUACAUGAAUGUGUAAUUGCCAACGUAAAUUGAAGUCAGAGCCAGGAUAAGUAAAACGGGCAACUACAGGAAGCAAAAGCGUACCUGCGACGAUCGGUCGAGUUGCACUUCGUCGGUGUAGUUACCCUCUCAUGUCAGCUCUGGUGCUAUUGUGUUGUAUAGUUGUAUAUGCAUGUGUUGGAGAAGAAGAAGAAGAAGAAGAAGAAGAAGAAGAGCGGUUUGAGUAAUUUUCCCAACGCGGAUGGGCCUUUAUCCCUUUCUCUUACGUAGUGCUUAACCAAGUAGGGAUUCCUUCCUUGGUGGGUUUAAGUUCCUGAUCUAGGUACAAAUUAAAUGUCGUACAUAUAUAUUAUGGUUAACUGUUGAUAACAACCUCAACCUGUCCGCUAGAUAUGCGUUGCCUAAAGUGCAAGUCUUCGUUUGAUUCUGUUUAGUACUAGUACGCGUGCUUUGACGACUUGCGUAGCCUUUUGCAGCACUGUUAGCAUCUGUACAUGUUUGAUCAAAUCAAGUGUUUUUUAUAACAGCACGUGUACAUAGAUCUGUUCUUGCAUACAGGGAGCUUUGUUCUCGCAUUCAACGUAGUACUCCACAGAAGGUAGGAGAGGAAGGGUACGCGCCGGAGUCGCGAAAAUUUGCACGGCACGCAGCUGUGAGGCACGCACCUGCCGAAACACAUGCGGUCGUCGAUCUGCGUCGCGAUCCGGACAUAUGUGUCCACGAAAAUUGAUUGUGAAAUGGAUGUAAAUUCUUAACUAUCUAAAUAUGACAUACAUGUUUAUUCUGUACAAAUACUUCCACGGGACCUGACCUUCCUAUACGCCUUUCUAUAUACGCGUAUGCUAUGCCUGUUCUGUUACAUACCCUGUUCCACGAGUUUUCUACACUAUUCAUCUUCUUCUUUCUUCGUCUCUGUCAUGUUCUACCCUUAUGCUCGAGUUCUAUUUUCUCCUCUUCUUUUUAUAUUUCUCUUCCUUCUGUCCAGUUACUUCCCUUUACGUCGUCUCCACUCAUCCGUUCGGCCUGUCCUACCCCUUUGCUAAUACAUGCAUCGUUCUUCUGAUAAAAAAUUGCUACACUUUUUUCCCAACCUUUUCUUUUCUCUUCCCUCAAAUAUGCAUCCUUCUAUUCUUUCAUAGUUGCAUCCUUCUACUGUCAAAUAUUCAUUUGUCGAAAGACUUUGAUGCCUUCCUUAUGAUCAUAUCAGAUACCAUUUGCAUUUCAUUCUUCAAAGUGCACUACAUUUUGUAUGAUUUAUUUUUAUUUUCAGUACUAAGAUGUUUUUUCUUGUUCUACCAAGUUACAGUCUACGAAACGGAUCUGUUUUGCGACGAAAGUUACUUUGUACAUUCAGUUUUACCCGUAGGAACUUGUGCCAAUUUCUAAUAAUUUAUUACUGCACACAACCAACAAGUCAUGCUGUCAACUUAGCCAACAUUAAUAUUCGCGAUGUGCAGACCGCAGACGCCUCAUCUUCUUUCUCGCUCAUAUUUCCCCAUCGUCUUUCGUGGUACCCCGUUGAACCGGAUGCCCAACGUUCCAGCCCAGAGAUCAAUGUCUUCUGGAACACGGUAUAGCUUGAUACAGGAUAAACCACAAUUUAUUAGAGUUUAUGUGAGACUUUCUUCACUUUUUGUCUUUUUAUAAACCUCCAUCAUCAUUCUCUUUGCCAUCCUAAGUGCCAAGACCGUGGCUCAUGCUCAAGUAGUGCGUGGGAGUUGAAUAGCUGAAGCGAGAAAAGUAUGAUUUAAUUGCUUGGUUUGGCGUCUGGGUUACUACAUGACUUGAUGUUACUAUGCAAGGAUGAAAGAUCAUGUCAUGCUUAUCAUGAUUAGGCGUACAUGGUUUUAUUUUCUUUAGCAUUCUUAUUUGGAAAGAUAAUGAUUGUUUAUUCACAUGCCUAUGUAUUAUUAUUUAAUGUCAAAUUUAUAGACUAUUGACAUGAAUCACUUUUUGUUGGAAAUAUGCCCUAGAGGCAAUAAUAAAAUGGUUAUUAUUAUAUUUCCUUGUUCAUGAUAAUUGUCUAUUGUUCAUGCUAUAAUUGUAUUAAUCGGAAACUGUAAUACAUGUGUGAAUGCAUAGACUACAACAUGUCCCUAGUGAGCCUCUAGUUGACUAGCUCGUUGAUCAAUAGAUGGUUGUGGUUUCCCUGACCAUGGACAUUGGAUGUCGUUGAUAACGGGAUCACAUCAUUAGGAGAAUGAUGUGAUGGACAAGACCCAAUCCUAAGCAUAGCACAAGAUCGCGUAGUUCGUUUGCUAGAGCUUUUCUAAUGUCAAGUAUCAUUUCCUUAGAGCAUGAGAUUGUGCAACUCCCGGAUACCGUAGGAAUGCUUUGGGUGUAUCAAACGUCACAACGUAACUGGGUGGCUAUAAAGGUGCACUACAGGUAUCACCGAAAGUGUCUGUUGGGUUGGCAUGAAUCGAGACUGGGAUUUGUCACUCCGUAUGACGGAGAGGUAUCUCUGGGCCACUCGGUAAUGCAUCAUCGUAAUGAGCUCAAUGUAACUAAGGAGUUAGCCACGGGAUCACGCAUUACGGAACAAGUAAAGAGACUUGCCGGUAACGAGAUUGAACAAGGUAUAGGGAUACCGACGAUCGACUCUCGGGCAAUUAACAUACCGAUGGACAAAGGGAAUUGUAUACGGGAUUGAUUGAAUCCCCGACAUCGUGGGGUUGGGGAACGUAGUAAUUUCAAAAAAAAUCCUACGCACACGCAAGAUCAUGGCGAUGCAUAGAAACGAGCGGGGAGAGCGUGUCCACGUACCCUCGUAGACCGAAAGCGGAAGCGUUAGCACAACGCGGUUGAUGUAGUCGUACGUCUUCACGAUCCGACCGAUCAAGUACCGAACGUACGACACCUCCGAGUUCAGCACACGUUCAGCUCGAUGACGUCCCUCGAACUCCGAUCCAGCCGAGUGUUGAGGGAGAGUUUUGUCAGCACGACGGCGUGGUGACGAUGAUGAUGUUCUACCGACGCAGGGCUUCGCCUAAGCACUGCUACGAUAUUAUCGAGGUGGACUAUGGUUGAGGGGGGCACCACACACAGCUAAAAGAUCAAUGAUCAGUUGUUGUGUCUAUGGGGUGCCCCCUGCCCCCGUAUAUAAAGGAGCAAGGGGGGAGAGGCGGCCCACCAGGAGGAGGCGCGCCAGGAGGAGUCCUACUCCCACCGGGAGUAGGACUUCCUCCCUUCCUUGUUGGAUUAAGAGAAGGGGGGAAGGAGGAGGGAGAGAGGAAGGAAAGGGGGGCGCCGCCCCCCCUCCUUGUCCAAUUCGGACUAGAGGGGGAGGGGGCGCGCGGCCUGCCCUGGCCGCCCCUCCUCUUCUCCACUAAGGCCCAUGUAGGCCCAAUAAACCCCCCGGGGGGUUCCGGUAACCCACGGUACUCCGGUAUAUAUCCGAUAGCCCCCGGAACCAUUCCGGUGUCCGAAUAUAGUCAUCCAAUAUAUCAAUCUUCAUGUCUCGACCAUUUCGAGACUCCUCGUCAUGUCUGUGAUCACAUCCGGGACUCCGAACUACCUUCGGUACAUCAAAACAUAUAAACUCAUAAUAUAACUGUCAUCGAAACUUUAAGCGUGCGGACCCUACGGGUUCGAGAACUAUGUAGACAUGACCGAGACACGUCUCCGGCCAAUAACCAAUAGCGGAACCUGGAUGCUCAUAUUGGCUCCCACAUAUUCUACGAACAUCUUUAUCGGUCAAACCGCAUAACAACAUAUGUUGUUCCCUUUGUCAUCGGUAUGUUACUUGCCCGAGAUUCGAUCGUCGGUAUCUCAAUACCUAGUUCAAUCUCGUUACCAGCAAGUCUUUUUACUCGUUUCGUAAUACAUCAUCCCACAAGUAACUCAUUAGUUGCAAUGCUUGCAAGGCUUAAGUGAUGUGCAUUACCGAGUGGGCCCAGAGAUACCUCUCCGGCAAUCGGAGUGACAAAUCCUAAUCUUGAAAUAUGCCAACCCAACAAGUACCUUUGGAGACACCUGUAGAGCACCUUUAUAAUCACCCAGUUAUGUUGUGACGUUUGGUAGCACACAAAGUGUUCCUCCGGUAAACGGGAGUUGCAUAAUCUCAUAGUCAUAGGAACAUGUAUAAGUCAUGAAGAAAGCAAUAGCAGAAUACUCAACGAUCGUGUGCUAAGCUAACGGAAUGGGUCAAGUCAAUCACAUCAUUCUCCUAAUGAUGUGAUCCCGUUAAUCAAAUGACAACUCAUGUCAAUGGCUAGGAAACAUAACCAUCUUUGAUCAACGAGCUAGUCAAGUAGAGGCAUACUAGUGACACUCUGUUUGUCUAUGUAUUCACACAAGUAUUAUGUUUCCGGUUAAUACAAUUCUAGCAUGAAUAAUAAACAUUUAUCAUGAUAUAAGGAAAUAAAUAAUAACUUUAUUAUUGCCUCUAGGGCAUAUUUCCUUCAGUCUCCCACUUGCACCAGAGUCAAUAAUCUAGAUUACACAGUAAUGAUUCUAACACCCAUGGAGCCUUGGUGCUGAUCAUGUUUUGCUCGUGGAAGAGGCUUAGUCAACGGGUCUGCAACAUUCAGAUCCGUAUGUAUCUUGCAAAUUUCUAUGUAUCCCACCUGGACUAGAUCCCGGAUGGAAUUGAAGCAUCUCUUGAUGUGCUUGGUUCUCUUGUGAAAUCUGGAUUCCUUUGCCAAGGCAAUUGCACCAGUAUUGUCACAAAAGAUUUUCAUUGGACCCGAUGCACUAGGUAUGACACCUAGAUCGGAUAUGAACUCCUUCAUCCAGACUCCUUCAUUUGCUGCUUCUGAAGCAGCUAUGUACUCCGCUUCACACGUAGAUCCCGCCACAACGCUUUGUUUAGAACUGCACCAACUGACAGUUCCACCGUUCAAUGUAAACACGUAUCCGGUUUGCGAUUUAGAAUCGUCCGGAUCAGUGUCAAAGCUUGCAUCGACGUAACCAUUUACGACUAGCUCUUUGUCACCUCCAUAAACGAGAAACAUAUCCUUAGUCCUUUUCAGGUAUUUCAGGAUGUUCUUGACCGCUGUCCAGUGAUCCACUCCUGGAUUACUUUGGUACCUCCCUGCUAAACUUAUAGCAAGGCACACAUUAGGUCUGGUACACAGCAUUGCAUACAUGAUAGAGCCUAUGGCUGAAGCAUAGGGAAAAUCUUUCAUCUUCUCUCUAUCUUCUGCAGUGGUCGGGCAUUGAGUCUUACUCAACUUCACACCUUGUAACAUAGGCAAGAACCCUUUCUUUGCUUGAUCUAUUUUGAACUUCUUCAAAACUUUGUCAAGGUAUGUGCUUUGUGAAAGUCCAAUUAAGCGUCUUGAUCUAUCUCUAUAGAUCUUGAUACCCAAUAUAUAAGCAGCUUCGCCGAGGUCCUUCAUUGAAAAACUCUUAUUCAAGUAUCCCUUUAUGCUAUCCAGAAAUUCUAUAUUAUUUCCAAUCAGUAAUAUGUCAUCCACAUAUAUAUCAGAAAUGCUACAGAGCUCCCACUCACUUUAUUGUAAAUACAGGCUUCUCCAAAAGUCUGUAUAAAACCAAAUGCUUUGAUCACCCUAUCAAAGCGUUUAUUCCAACUCCGAGAGGCUUGCACCAGACCAUAAAUGGAUCGCUGGAGCUUGCACACUUUGUUAGCUCCUUUUGGAUCGACAAAACCUUCCGGUUGCAUCAUAUACAACUCUUCUUCCAGAAAUCCAUUCAGGAAUGCAGUUUUGACAUCCAUUCGCCAAAUUUCAUAAUCAUAAAAUGCGGCAAUUGCUAACAUGAUUCAGACAGACUUAAGCAUCGCUACGGGUGAUAAAGUCUCAUCGUAGUCAAUCCCUUGAACUUGUAGAAAACCUUUCGCAACAAGUCGAGCUUUAUAGACAGUAACAGUACCAUCAACGUCAGUCUUCUUCUUGAAGAUCCAUUUAUUCUCAAUGGCUUGCCGAUCAUCGGGCAAGUCAACCAAAGUCCACACUUUGUUCUCAUACAUGGAUCCCAUCUCAGAUUUCAUGGCCUCAAGCCAUUUUGCGGGAUCUGGGCUCACCAUCGCUUCUUCAUAGUUCGUAGGUUCAUCACGGUCUAGUAACAUAACCUCCAGAACAGGAUUACCGUACCAUUCUGGUGCGGAUCUUACUAUGGUUGACCUACGAGGUUCAGUAACAACUUGAUCUGAAGUUUCAUGAUCAUCAUCAUUAACUUCCUCACUAAUUGGUGUAGGUGUCACAGGAACCGGUUUCUGUGAUGAACUACUUUCCAAUAAGGGAGCAGGUACAGUUACCUCAUCAAGUUCUACUUUUCUCCCACUCACUUCUUUCGAGAGAAACUCUUUCUCUAGAAAGAUUCCAAAUUUAGCAACAAAAGUCUUGCCUUCGGAUUUGUGAUAGAAGGUGUACCCAACAGUCUCUUUUGGGUAUCCUAUGAAGACACAUUUUUCCGAUUUGGGUUCGAGCUUAUCAGGUUGAAGCUUUUUCACAUAAGCAUCGCAGCCCCAAACUUUAAGAAACGACAACUUUGGUUUCUUGCCAAACCACAAUUCAUAAGGCGUCGUCUCAAAGGAUUUCAAUGGUGCCCUAUUUAACGUGAAUGCAGCCGUCUCUAAAGCAUAACCCCAAAACGAUAGCGGUAAAUCAGUAAGAGACAUCAUAGAUCGCACCAUAUCUAGUAAAGUACGAUUACGAUGUUCGGACACACCAUUACGCUGCGGUGUUCCGGGUGGCGUGAGUUGCGAAACUAUUCCGCAUUGUUUCAAAUGAAGACCAAACUCGUAACUCAAAUAUUCUCCUCCACGAUCAGAUUGUAGAAACUUUAUUUUCUUGUUACGAUGAUUUUCAACUUCACUCUGAAAUUCUUUGAACUUUUCAAAUGUUUCAGACUUAUGUUUCAUUAAGUAGAUAUACCCAUAUCUGCUUAAAUCAUCUAUGAAGGUGAGAAAAUAAGGAUACCCGCCGCGAGCCUCAAUAUUCAUCGGACCACAUACAUCUGUAUGUAUGAUUUCCAACAAAUCUGUUGCUCGCUCCAUAGUUCCGGAGAACGGCGUUUUAGUCAUCUUGCCCAUGAGGCACGGUUCGCAAGUACCAAAUGAUUCAUAAUCAAGUGGUUCCAAAAGUCCAUCAGUAUGGAGUUUCUUCAUGCGUUUUACACCGAUAUGACCUAAACGGCAGUGCCACAAAUAAGUUGCACUAUCAUUAUCAACUCUGCAUCUUUUGGCUUCAAUAUUAUGAAUAUGUGCAUCACUACUAUCGAGAUUCAACAAAAAUAGACCACUCUUCAAGGGUGCAUGACCAUAAAAGAUAUUACUCAUAUAAAUAGAACAACCAUUAUUCUCUGAUUUAAAUGAAUAACCGUCUCGCAUCAAACAAGAUCCAGAUAUAAUGUUCAUGCUCAACGCUGGCACCAAAUAACAAUUAUUCAGGUCAAAAACUAAUCCCGAAGGUAGAUGUAGAGGUAGCGUGCCGACCGCGAUCACAUCGACUUUGGAACCAUUUCCCACGCGCAUCGUCACCUCGUCCUUAGCCAAUAUUCGCUUAAUCCGUAGUCCCUGUUUCGAGUUGCAAAUAUUAGCAACAGAACCAGUAUCAAAUACCCAGGUGCUACUGCGAGCAUUAGUAAGGUACACAUCAAUAACAUGUAUAUCACAUAUACCUUUGUUCACCUUGCCAUCCUUCUUAUCCGCCAAAUACUUGGGGCAGUUCCGCUUCAAGUGACCAGUCUGUUUGCAGUAGAAGCACUCAGUCUCGGGCUUAGGUCCAGACUUGGGUUUCUUCUCCUGAGCAGCAACUUGUUUGCUGUUCUUCUUGAAGUUCCCCUUCUUCUUCCCUUUGCCAUUUUUCUUGAAACUGGUGGUCUUGUUGACCAUCAACACUUGAUGCUCCUUCUUGAUUUCUACCUCCGCAGCUUUUAGCAUUGCGAAGAGCUCGGGAAUUGUCUUAUCCAUCCCUUGCAUGUUAUAGUUCAUCACGAAGCUCUUGUAGCUUGGUGGCAGUGAUUGAAGAAUUCUGUCAAUGACACUAUCAUCCGGAAGAUUAACUCCCAGUUGAAUCAAGUGAUUGUUAUACCCAGACAUUUUGAGUAUAUGCUCACUGACAGAACUAUUCUCCUCCAUCUUACAGCUGUAGAACUUAUUGGAGACUUCAUAUCUCUCAAUCCGGGCAUUUGCUUGAAAUAUUAACUUCAACUCCUGGAACAUCUCAUAUGCUCCAUGACGUUCAAAACGUCGUUGAAGUCCCGGUUCUAAGCCGUAAAGCAUGGCACACUGAACUAUCAAGUAGUCAUCAGCUUUGCUCUGCCAGACGUUCAUAACAUCUGGUGUUGCUCCUGCAGCAGGUCUGGCACCUAGCGGUGCUUCCAGCACGUAAUUCUUCUGUGCAGCAAUGAGGAUAAUCCUCAAGUUACGGACCCAGUCCGUGUAAUUUCUACCAUCAUCUUUCAACUUUGCUUUCUCAAGGAACGCAUUAAAAUUCAACGGAACAACAGCACGGGCCAUCCAUCUACAAUCAACAUGGACAAGCAAAAUACUAUCAGGUACUAAGUUCAUGAUAAAUUUAAGUUCAAUUAAUCAUAUUACUUAAGAACUCCCACUUAGAUAGACAUCCCUCUAAUCCUCUAAGUGAUCACGUGAUCCAAAUCAACUAAACCAUGUCCGAUCAUCACGUGAGAUGGAGUAGUUUCAAUGGUGAACAUCACUAUGUUGAUCAUAUCUACUAUAUGAUUCACGCUCGACCUUUCGGUCUCAGUGUUCCGAGGCCAUAUCUGUUAUAUGCUAGGCUCGUCAAGUUUAACCUGAGUAUUCCGCGUGUGCAACUAUUUUUCACCCGUUGUAUUAGAACGUAGAGCCUAUCACACCCGAUCAUCACGUGGUGUCUCAGCACGAAGAACUUUCGCAACGGUGCAUACUCAGGGAGAACACUUAUACCUUGAUAAUUUAGUGAGAGAUCAUCUUAUAAUGCUACCAUCAAUCAAAGCAAGAUAAGAUGCAUAAAAGAUAAACAUCACAUGCAAUCAAUAUAAGUGAUAUGAUAUGGCCAUCAUCAUCUUGUGCCUGUGAUCUCCAUCUCCGAAGCACCGUCAUGAUCACCAUCGUCACCGGCGCGACACCUUGAUCUCCAUCGUAGCAUCGUUGUUGUCUCGCCAUCUUAUGCUUCUACGACUAUCGCUACCGCUUAGUGAUAAAGUAAAGCAUUACAGGGCGUUUGCAUUGAAUACAAUAAAGCGACAACCAUAUGGCUCCUGCCAGUUGCCGAUAACUCGGUUACAAAACAUGAUCAUCUCAUACAAUAAAAUUUAGCAUCAUGCCUUGACCAUAUCACAUCACAACAUGCCCUGCAAAAACAAGUUAGACGUCCUCUACUUUGUUGUUGCAAGUUUUACGUGGCUGCUAUGGGCUGAGCAAGAACCGUUCUUACCUACGCAUCAAAACCACAACGAUAGUUUGUCAAGUUGGUGCUGUUUUAACCUUCUCAAGGACCGGGCGUAGCCACACUCGGUUCAACUAAAGUUGGAGAAACUGACACCCGCCAGCCACCUGUGUGCAAAGCACGUCGGUAGAACCAGUCUCGCGUAAGCGUACGCGUAAUGUCGGUCCGGGCCGCUUCAUCCAACAAUACCGCCGAACCAAAGUAUGACAUGCUGGUAAGCAGUAUGACUUGUAUCGCCCACAACUCACUUGUGUUCUACUCGUGCAUAUGACAUCUACGCAUAAAACCUGGCUCGGAUGCCACUAUUGGGGAACGUAGUAAUUUCAAAAAAAUUCCUACGCACACGCAAGAUCAUGGUGAUGCAUAGCAACAAGCGGGGAGAGUGUGUCCAUGUACCCUCGUAGACCGAAAGCGGAAGCGCUAGCACAACGCGGUUGAUGUAGUCGUACGUCUUCAUGAUCCGACCGGUCAAGUACCGAACGUACGACACCUCCGAGUUCAGCACACGUUCAGCUCAUUGACGUCCCUCGAACUCCGAUCCAGCCGAGUGUUGAGGGAGGGUUUCGUCAGCACGACGGCGUGGUGACGAUGAUGAUGUUCUACCGACGCAGGGCUUCGCCUAAGCACCGCUACGAUAUUAUCGAGGUGGACUAUGGUGGAGGGGGGCACCGCACACGGCUAAAAGAUCAAUGAUCAAUUGUUGUGUCUAUGGGGUGCCCCUGCCCCCGUAUAUAAAGGAACAAGGGGGGAGAGGCGGCCGGCCAGGAGGAGGCGCGCCAGCAGGAGUCCUACUCCCACCGGGAGUAGGACUCCCUCCCUUCCUUGUUGGAUUAGGAGAAGGGGGAAGGAGGAGGGAGACAGGAAGGAAAGGGGGGCGCCGCCCCCCUCCUUGUCCAAUUCGGACUAGAGGGGGAGGGGGCGUGCGGCCUACCCUGGCCGCACCUUCUCUUCUCCAUAAGGCCCAUGUAGGCCCAAUAAACCCCCCCGGGGGGGUUCCGGUAACCCCCGGUACUCCGGUAUAUAUUCGAUAACCCUCGGAACCAUUCCGGUGUCCGAAUAUAGUCACCCAAUAUAUCAAUCUUCAUGUCUUGAUCAUUCGAGACUCCUCGUCAUGUCCGUGAUCACAUCCGGGACUCCGAACUACCUUCGGUACAUCAAAACAUAUAAACUCAUAAUAUAACUGUCAUCGAAACUUUAAGCGUGCGGACCCUACGGGUUCGAGAACUAUGUAGACAUGACCGAGACACGUCUCCGGCCAAUAACCAAUAGCGGAACCUGGAUGCUCAUAUUGGCUCCCACAUAUUCUGCGAAGAUCUUUAUCGGUCAAACCGCAUAACAACAUACGUUGUUCCCUUUGUCAUCGGUAUGUUAUUUGCCCGAGAUUCGAUCGUCGGUAUCUCAAUACCUAGUUCAAUCUCGUUACCAGCAAGUCUCUUUACUCGUUCUGUAAUAUGUCAUCCCGCAACUAACUCAUUAGUUGCAAUGCUUGCAAGGCUUAAGUGAUGUGCAUUACCGAGUGGGCCUAGUGAUACCUCUCCGACAAUCGGAGUGAAAAAUCCUAAUCUUGAAAUACGCCAACCCAACAAGUACCUUUGGAGACACCUGUAGAACACCUUUAUAAUCACCCAGUUACGUUGUGAUGUUUGGUAGCACACAAAGUGUUCCUCCGGUAAAUGGGAGUUGCAUAAUCUCGUAGUCAUAGGAACAUGUAUAAGUCAUGAAGAAAGCAAUAGCAUAAUACUCAAUGCUCGUGUGCUAAGCUAAUGGAAUGGGUCAAGUCAAUCACAUCAUUGUCCUAAUGAUGUGAUCCCGUUAAUCAAAUGACAACUCACGUCAAUGGCUAGGAAACAUAACCAUCUUUGAUCAACGAGCUAGUCAAGUAGAGGCAUACUAGUGACACUCUGUUUGUCUAUGUAUUCACACAAGUAUUAUGUUUCCGAUUAAUACAAUUCUAGCAUGAAUAAUAAACAUUUAUCAUGAUAUAAGGAAAUAAAUAAUAACUUUAUUAUUGCCUCUAGGGCAUAUUUCCUUCACGUGGUUCAUCCGAUGAGAUCAUCAUGGAACAUGUGGGAGCCAAUAUGGGUAUCCCGAUCCCGCUAUUGGUUAUUGGCCGGAGAGGCAUCUCGGUCAUGUCUGCAUGGUUCCCGAACCCGUAGGGUCUACACACUUAAGGUUCGGUGACGCUAGAGUUGUAAUGGGAAUUGUAUGUGGUUACCGAAAGUUGUUCGGAGUCUCGGGUGAGAUCCCGGAUGUCACGAGGAGUUCUGGAAUGGUCUGGAGGUAAAUAUUUAUAUAUGGGAAGUCCUAUUUUGGCCACCGGAAAAUGUUCGGGAUUUUUCGGUAUUGUACCAGGAAGGUUCUAGAAGGUUCCGGAGUGGGGCCCACCUGCAUGGGGGGACCCACAUGAACAUGGGUAGUGGGGGCAAGGCCCCACACCCCUGGUCAAGGCACACCAAGAUCCCCCUUAGAAGGAACAGUAUCAUAUCCCGAAGGGAUAAGAUCAAGAUCCCUAAAAAGGGAGAUAGCAAUCGGUGGGGAAGGGAAAGGAUGGGAUUUCUUUCCUCCCACCUUUGCCAACGCCCCAAUGGACUUGGAGGGCAAGAAACCAGCCCCCUCCACCUCUAUAUAUAGUGGGGAGGCGCAUGGGAGCUGCAACCCUUUGCCCCUGGCGCAGCCCUCCCCACAACUCCUCCUCCUCCUCCGUUGAGCAUAGCGAAGCUCUGCCGGAGAACCACGAGCUCCACCACCACGCUGUCGUGCUGCCGGAGUUCUCCCUCAACUUAUCCUCUCUCCUUGCUGGAUCAAGAAGGAGGAGACGUCCCCGGGCUGUAUGUGUGUUGAACGCGGAGGCACCGUCUGUUCGACGCUUGGAUCGGAUCUUCCGCGAUUUGAAUCGCCGCGAGUACGACUCCAUCAACCACGUUCUUGUAACGCUUCCACUUAGCGAUCUUCAAGGGUAUGAAGAUGUACUCCCUCUCUCGUUGCUAGCAUCUCCUAGAUUGAUUUUGGUGACACGUAGGAUUUUUUUUGAAUUAUUACUACGUUCCACAACAGUGGCAUCAUGAGCUAGGUCUAUGCGUAGAUUCUGUGCACGAGUAGAACACAAGUAGUUUUGGGCGAUGAUUUGGUCAAUUUGCUUGCCGUUACUAGUCCUAUCUUGAUUCGGUGGCAUUGUGGGAUGACGCGGCCCGGACCGACCUUACACGUACGCUUACGUGAGACAGGUUCCACCGACUGACAUGCACUUGUUGCAUAAGGUGGCUAGCGGGUGUCUGUCUCUCCCACUUUAGUUGGAUCGGAUUCGAUGAAGAGGGUCCUUAAGAAGGGUAAAUAGCAAUUGGCAUAUCAACAUUGUGGCUUUUGCGUAGGUAAGAAACGUUCUUGCUAGAAACCCAUAGCAGCCACGUAAAACAUGCAACAACAAUUAGAGGACGUCUAACUUGUUUUUGCAGGGUAUGCUAUGUGAUGUGAUAUGGCCAAAAGGAAGUGAUGAAUUAUAUAUGUGAUGUAUGAGAUUGAUCAUGUUCUUUUAAUAGGAAUCAUGACUUGCAUGUCGAUGAGUAUGACAACCGGCAGGAGCCAUAGGAGUUGUCUUAAUUUAUUGUAUGACCUGCGAGUCAAUGUAAAUGCCAUGUAAUUACUUUACUUUAUUGCUAACCAUUAGCCAUGGUAGUAGAAGUAAUAGUUGGCGAGACAACUUCAUGAAGACACGAUGAUGUAGAUCAUGAUGAUGGAGAUCAUGGUGUCAUGCCGGUGACGAAGGUGAUCAUGCCGCGCCUCGAAGAUGGAGAUCAAAGGCGCAAGAUGAUAUUGGCCAUAUCCUGUCACUUUAUGAUUUGCAUGUGAUGUUUAUCAUGUUUACAUCUUAUUUGCAUAGAACGACGGUAGCAUAAAUAAGAUGAUCCCUCACUAAAAAUUUCAAGAAAUGUGUUCCCCCUAACUGUGCACCGUUGCGAAGGUUCGUUGUUUCGAAGCACCACAUGAUGAUCGGGUGUGAUAGAUUCUAACGUUCGCAUACAACGGGUGUAAGCCAGAUUUACACAUGCAAAACACUUAGGUUGACUUGACGAGCCUAGCAUGUACAGACAUGGACUCGGAACACGAGAGACCGAAAGGUCGAACAUGAGUCGUAUAGUAGAUGCGAUCAACAUGGAGAUGUUCACCGUUGAUGACUAGUCUGUCUCACGUGAUGAUCGGACACGGCCUAGUCGAUUCGGAUCAUGUAUCACUUAGAUGACUAGAGGGAUGUCUAUCUAAGUGGGAGUUCAUUAAAUAAUUUGAUUACAUGAACUUAAUUAUCAUGAACUUAGUCUAAAAUUGUCUUUACAAUCUAUCUUGUAGAUCCAAUGGCCCACGCUAAUGUUGCCCUUAACUUCAACGCGUUCCUAGAGAAAACCAAGCUGAAAGACGAUGGAAGCAACUAUACUGACUGGGUCCGUAACUUGAGGAUCAUCCUCAUAGCUUCCAAGAAAGCAUAUGUCCUUGAAGCACCGCUAGGUGAUGCACCCAUUUUCCCAGCAACUCAAGACGUUAUGAACGCCUGACAGUCACGUAGUGAUCAUUACUCCGUGGUUCAUUGCGGCAUGCUUUACAGCUUAGAGUCGGGGCUCCAAAAGCGUUUUGAGCAGCACGGAGCAUAUGAGAUGUUCCAAGAGCUGAAAAUUGUUUUCCAAGCUCAUGCCCGGGUCGAGAGAUAUGAAGUCUCCGACAAGUUCUACAGUUGUCACUACAAAAAAAAAGACACAUCCGUGACAUUUUGGGCCGAACGAAGAAAAAUUCUGUCAUACUUAUGACACUUCUAUGACGAUAUUGUUACAAAACCCGGUAUCAUCAUAGAUGUGGUGGGGUCCUACUUCUAUGACAAAAAAUCAUGACAGAAAAUGGGCUUUUCGUCCUGGGCGGGCCGGAGACGCAGCUGCAUGACAUUCUUUGGGCCAUCCAUGACGGAAAAAACCGUGGUAGAAGCGAGGGCGAGGAAAAUAUCGGGGUGUUCCCGGUUACGGUGGGUGGUCGGGGCCGAGCAAUGCGCGUUUCUCUUGUACACACACGCGCGUGGGUGCGAGGCGUUGGGCUCUAACUGAACCCGAGCGAUUGCACUGCAGGCUACACGUUACUGAACCUGAGCGAUCGAUCGAUGGCUGUUAAUUGAACCCGAUCGAGCGAUUCCUUCGNNNNNNNNNNNNNNNNNNNNNNNNNNNNNNNNNNNNNNNNNNNNNNNNNNNNNNNNNNNNNNNNNNNNNNNNNNNNNNNNNNNNNNNNNNNNNNNNNNNNNNNNNNNNNNNNNNNNNNNNNNNNNNNNNNNNNNNNNNNNNNNNNNNNNNNNNNNNNNNNNNNNNNNNNNNNNNNNNNNNNNNNNNNNNNNNNNNNNNNNNNNNNNNNNNNNNNNNNNNNNNNNNNNNNNNNNNNNNNNNNNNNNNNNNNNNNNNNNNNNNNNNNNNNNNNNNNNNNNNNNNNNNNNNNNNNNNNNNNNNNNNNNNNNNNNNNNNNNNNNNNNNNNNNNNNNNNNNNNNNNNNNNNNNNNNNNNNNNNNNNNNNNNNNNNNNNNNNNNNNNNNNNNNNNNNNNNNNNNNNNNNNNNNNNNNNNNNNNNNNNNNNNNNNNNNNNNNNNNNNNNNNNNNNNNNNNNNNNNNNNNNNNNNNNNNNNNNNGUGGAGAGGGCUGGUUGAACAGUAGCCGGUGGAGUAGCGCGCGGUGGAGGCUGGAUGAACAAGAGCCCGUGGAUGAACAGUCGCAGGUGGAGGCUGGAGGAGGUCGACGGUGGAUGAACAGUAGCCCGUGGAGGCUGGAGGGGGUCGACGGUGGAGAUGAACAGUAUCCCGUGGAGUCCCGUUUUGCGGUACGCCACACCCCUCCCGAUGAACAGGACCCCCGUUUCGACCGUAGCGCUCCAACACAAGUCCGUUUCCUCCGUUUUGCGGUACGCCACACCCCUCCCGAUCAACAGGACCCCCGUUUCGACCAUAGGAGGUCCGUUUCCUCCGUUUUGCGGUACACCAGACCCCUCCCGAUGAACAGGAUCCCGUUUCGACCGUGGCCGGUCGAACACAAGGCCGUUUCCUCCGUUCUGCGGUACGCCAGGCCUCGUUUCCAUCGGCUGUUCCGUCCAAGCCCUCCCGAUGAACACGACGACGCAUUCCGUUCUGAUCCAGCUGGUUGGCUCCCCAUGAACACGACGACGAAGCAGUUUCUCCAUUCCGACCCAGCCAUGUACACGAUCCCUGGCCGUACGUAUGCGCGAGUAGGCGUUCGAGACCCUGCCCAUAUGUACAUACGUGGCCGUAUUUUCUUUCUUGCACACUGGCCGCUGUACGUACGUGUACAUGCUACGUGCGCGCCUCUACUACGACACGUGCGCGCCUCUACAUCGACCAGUAUGUACGUACACGUUCGCAACCAGAUGAUAAUGCUACGUAUGCUUCGACCAGGUGGGUCCCGACUGUCAGGCACUUCCUUGCCUGCGAAGAUGCAGCUGGUGGGUCCCAGCAGUCAGGGGGGCGAAUCGUUUUUUUGCCCGGACGCACUUCCUUGCAUGCGAAGAUGUAGCUGGUGGGUCCCAGUAGUCAGGGGAAAACAUUAUUUUCAUGAAAUACGGUGGCCCGUCCGGUGGGUCCCUGCUGUCAGGUGGAGGAAUAAUUAUUUUGCGCGUAAUAAGGAGGCACUUCCUUGCGGCCGUCGUGGACCCAACUGUUAGCCUCUCCACGUACAGUACUCAUCCGAUGGAAGUCGUUUCUUGACCAUGUUGACCACGCCACGCCGAGAGCACUAGGGCGGUGGACGACGGCGAGGCCUAGGAAGGGGACGACGCGGAGCCGGGGAAGACGCGGUAGUGGAAGCCCGCGCGGAGAGGAGUACGACGGUUCACUGGUUCGGCUGCGGUGUGAGGCUGCCGUCGCCGCAGGGCCUGGCCAGCGGUGGGAAUAGUAGGGGGCGAUGAGGCCUCCGUGGCAGCACAGCCGGCCACGGGAGGCAGGAGCAUGCGACACGACCGGCGCUGCUUUGGGCGGCUGGAGCAAGAAGACCAGAGGUUGAAGAAGCACUAUGGCCGUUGGAUGGACAUCGUACGGUCACUGGAGCUAGAAUCGUUCAUAUUGACUAAGUUGACAAAGCACUCCGUCCCCAUCAACUUAGUAGGCCCACAAGUCAGCCUCCCACCAAGGUGGGUCCCAACUAGCAGGGGGAGUAUUCAUUUUUUUGUGCGUAAUAAGGAGGCACUUCCGGUGGGUCCGAGCUGACAGCGGGGGGAACGUUUUUUUCGCGAAAUAGGGUGGCCCGUCCGGUGGGUCCCAGCAGUCAGGGGGGAAACGUUUUUUCGCCAAAUACGGUGGCACGUUCGGUGGGUACCUGCUGUCAGGUGGGGGAAUAAUUAUUUUCCGCGUAAUAAGGAGGCACUUCCUUGCGGCUGCCGUGGACCCAGCUGUCAGCCUCUCCACGACAGUACUCUUCCGAUGGAAGUCGUUCCUUGACCACGCUGCACCGAGAGCACCAGGGCGGUGGACGAUGGCGAGGCCUAGGAAGGGGCGACGCGGAGCCAGGGAAGACGCGGCAAUGGAUGCCCACGCGGAGAGGAGUACAAGGGUUCACUGGUUCGGCUGCGGUGUGAGGCUGCCGUCGCCGCAGAAUAACAGGGGGUGUGGGUGAGUAGAGGGAUGCCCUGGCCAGCGGUAGGAGUAGUAGGGGGCGGUGAGGCCUGCACGGGAGGCGGGGAGCAGGCGGUCCCGCCGGCGCUGGAUUUGGCGGCUGGAGCAAGAAGAUCAGAGAUUGAAGAAACACGACGGCCGUUGGAUUGACAUCCAACGGUUACGUCUGCUAGAAUCGUUUCUUGACGUAUAUAAUAACUAAAAAAAUCUUGCAUAUGCGUCAACUUAAUAGGCCCAUAAGUCAGACCAUUCCCUCUUUUUUUAAUAAUUUUUAUAUAGCUCAUUGCGACUUCUUAUGCAAUUUAUUGCAUUCCUUUUUUGGUUGGCCAGGGCCAUUUUUGCAUAUUUCUGUGGGUUCCAAACUAUUUUUAAUACCGAAAUGUCGAGCCAGAUUUAAAGUACUUUGAAGAUAUAUUUAAAUUAGGUUAAUGCCCAGUGAAAUAGGAAUCUGAAAAUGUGAAAAAAUUCAGAAAUUAUAAAGUAGUUGCCAAUUUGUCAUCUGUUUUUAUAUUUACAACCCAUUUCAUAUUACUUUCAAGAUUUGCACGCGUCUUGAAAGAGUUGCAGCCCAUCAGGGCAUAGAAAAAUAAAUAGGCCUGGAUUGGGUAUUCUUCAGAAAAAAUAAACCGGGCUCAUUUUCACAAAGAAAAAAUAGCUGGGCUGGUCACAUGGUGAACACAAAAUAUAAGCCUGGGCUAGACGGGCCACAGCCCAGUUCAAACCCUGCUCCGUCUCAACAAUAACAAAAAA
rnacentral:lncRNA from 1 species